rnacentral:lncRNA from 1 species
AUCAAGUUUUUGUUCCCAAACUAGUAUUCAAGGUCAAAAGUCACAAAAAUAGCACUUAAUGUUUUAUCAAAAGUCACAAACUUAGGGUUUAGAGUUAAUGGUGGGGUUUAGGAUUUAGGGUUUAGGGUUUAGAGUUUAGGGUUUAGAAUUUAGGGUUUAGGGUUUAGAAUUUAGGGUUUAGGGUUUAGGGUUUAGGGUUUAGGGUUUAGAGUUGAGAAAUGAGGUUUUGGGGAUAAGAUUUCAAAUUUUGAAAAAUAAAAAAAUUAAAAUUUUCAAAAGAUAAAAUGCUAUUUUGGUGAUUUUAGUUUUUGAGUGCUAUUUUUGUGAUAUAAACUUAGAAAUGUGCUAUUUUGGUGAUUUGUCUUUAUUGUUAGCUCCAAGCCUCCAACUGAUUAAUUACACCCCCUUUUAUAAGUUGAGUACAAUGUGUUCUUUAGUUAGCAUUUUAUUUUUGUUUUAAUUUUUCUACAUUAGUGCAAGUAUUAAAUAUUGUCGCUGAGAGGAGUGAUAGAGAGAGAGAGAGAGAGAGACAGUGAUGUUACCAAACCAAAAAAUUACCACUAAGCACAUGUCACUGUUUAUCAUUAACUGUCCAUUUCCAUGCAAGGCAAAAUACAAAAAGUUCCAGCCUACCUUAUACUAGUACUACAUCUUUUAACACUGCUUGUUUCGACUAAUCAUGACAGUAACCAUCCUAACUAUAUACUGACUGACUCGUAGUUACAUCAAUACUAAUUAACCCAGUCUAACUUUCAUAUUUAAAGCCAUACUUGUUUGGACAUAUAAUAUUAUAUGGUGUGGUGUCUAUAACAUUUGCUUGGUAAAAAUCAUGACAAUAGUUUGAACUUAACAUGCAUGAGAAGUUUGUUUCCGUCCACUUUGUUAGCAAACUGAACCGAUUCAAACCAAACAAAAUCCAAACCGUACUAAUUUUGGUUUGAGUUCACCCUAAGUGAAUUAACCAAACAGAAUCCGAAGGGAAAGAAACCCCAAAAUAUACACCCUAAUACAUGUUGUUAAAAAAAAAAUACACCCUAAUACAUAAGAAACAAGAAGCGAGCUGUUGAAUGAAGAUUUACAACGAAGAUGUCCUCCAAAAAUAAAACAAUUGAAGUUCACUGUGCUUGUAUUCAUAUAAACACCACGAUGGUCAAGACAAAAAUGAGAGACCCCAAUAAUUAAAUGAACACAUUAUUGGCUAUGAUCAAUACACAAGCAAAUAUUUUAGUUUGUAGUGUAGUAUAAGAGAAACCAAGUGUAGACCAGGAGCUUUGACUUUGACCACAUUAGAAUCUUUCAUUACGCACUAAACGCUUUUCAAUGUAAAGAAGCACAUGCAUCCAUCCACUUAGAGCCAAACAUAUGCAUAUGUGGUUAAUGUUGUUGAGUUUCUACUCCACGUAUGUGCAUGAUUUAAUCGUACUACCAUCAAACUCUCUUUUCGAAACCCCCUCUAACAAUAGCUAGAAACACGUUGUAUUGGUAUGGCAGUUGCCACCAUCUGAGACGGUGAUUUAACAUGCUCUGUGCUUUUUUCCUCUAUAUACUUCUGAAAGAGGGAUAAGUUGUACCUAAUCGCUAUUUAAUUAACUAAUGAUGUUAUGCUCACCCAAUAAGUAACAUUACUUUCAGUGACUUUUAGACGCUGCGUUGGUUAGACCAUCCUAGAACAGGGAUAAAAUAUUCAUUUAUAUCCAAGUGUAAUCACAGUUAUAACAUUUGUAUAAGCUGGUGGUAUCAGCCGCCCUCCAAAUUUAUUUCAGGUGAGAUGUAGUAUGGGCAGAUUAGAGAUGUAUCCAGUUCGGGGUUAAUAGUUGGAGAUUUCUUGAUAAAUAAUAUAUACGCAUAUAUUACUUUCGGUAAUGUAUUAAAAAGGAGAAGAUACAUAAAUGUACGGCAAUUAGAUGGAUAAAACUAUAUGGUCAAGUAUUUGUAGCCAUAAAAUUAGGUGGCUAAAAAAGUUUUAUCCAAAGGUAAAUAGGGUUAACUAAUCUAAGACUUAGAAUUUAGAGUUAAAGGGUUGAGUUUUGGGGAUGAGUUCAAUUUUUUUUUUUUUUUUUAAAUAUUAAUUUUUUUUUUAAAAAAAACUAUUUUGAUCAUUUUAAUUUUUUCGGUCUAUUUUUGUGAUAAAAACUUAAAAAUGACUAUUUAACAGAAUUGCCUAAAUAAAAUUAGCUGUUAUAUUAAACAAUUCAUACUUUUGCGUGUAAGUCAAAUAUAUAUAUUUUUAGUAGGAAAAUUGGGGGCUAUAAACAUGGAAAAAAAGUAAUUCACAGCGUAGCGCUUUUACCUAACGGAUGUAUAGACGACGUCAUAUAUACAUAAUAAUACUAUGAUACCCUUGCCUAUUAACCGGCUAACCUGCAAGAAGAUAAAUAAAUAAAAUAAAAAAAUUUACUGGCCAAAGUAAAUCUUGUCUUCUCCCAUUCCACACACCUUCUCCUUCUCGCUUUCUUCGUCGGUUCUCUCUGGAAUUCCAAACGACCCUGCCGCUUCUCUGCUCCUACGGCUCGCCUCUCACUGCAAUCAACUUUUCAUCUCUGUCCUCUUCCCUUCUCAUCGGCUUCGGUUUUCCGGGCGUCUGUGGUUCGGUUUUGCACGACGGUUUCGGCGGAGGGGAGUAACACCGCUGGCAUCUCCAACUUCACAGAGUAGCGGUUUUCUCAGAGCUUUGACAAUAGCGUAAGUUCUUUGGCUUUCUGCUUCGUCUUUGUUUCUCUGAUUCUAUUUUCGAUUUUGGCAAAAUUAGGGUUUUAAAUUGUUAAGUCUGUAUCAUUGUUCCUGUUGUAAACCAUUGUUCCGGUUACAUAAUUCCGUCCUCGCAUAUCGGACUUUCUCAAAUUGAUUUAGGGUUCGAGUUUUCCCGGUUGUGUGAGGGUUUCUUAAAUUUGAAUCGUUUCGAUGAUGCAAACUAUGUGGUGUAGUGAUAUAUACGAAGUUGUGUAGAAUAUCAUUGCUGAGAAUUGGCCUGUCCGUACACAUAGUAUGAAAUUUCAGAUCUGGUUUCCAUUUGAAAUGUCAUAGUAUUUGUAUCCCAUUAAACCAUUCCAUGGAGGAUAGUAACACUUGCGAUAAUAUUUGAUUUGUCUCACUUUGUGUUUGGGUGUGGUUCCCAGCUUGAUGUUGUUAAUCUAAGUUAUGCUUGCUUUGGGGUUUCUGUCUCUGUGGUCCAUUGUUCAUGAUCUAGAAAUAUCGAUUAUUUUGUGGAACACUAAACCCAAACCACAUAUAUGUUACGUCCGUAUCUGUAUAUUUAGCCUGAUGAGUGUCAUAUUAACUGGAAUAGUAUGCUAUUCAUAAUAUUCCAUUUCACAUGGAAUGGUACUUUCACAUGAUAUGCUGUUCCAUUAGGUUGCCGGUUCUUACCCUGUUUAGCUCAUUAUUCAUUUAUAUAUUGCAUAUGACAUUGUGAACCAUCUUCACUCUUUGACUCUUUUACUUUUCAUUCUUCAGGUUUGUUAUGGACGAGUUAGAGCUUCCAAGUAGAUUGUUUGAGACAGGCUGCGAACCCAGUGGCAAGAAAAGGUAACAACUAUUUCAAUCUCCGUUGGAUUGAAGUGAUAAAGAGUGCAUUAGAGGAUGAGGACCUGACGAUGUUGAGUGCUUCACAGUUUGGCCAAGUACUGAAGAUGGGGUCCCAUACCUUCUCGGUUAUGUUUCUUCAUUACCUUCUUUCACGAUAGUUGAUCACUGAGAAAGACUUCGAACUUUGGUGGCUUUUCGUGGGGAAACCAAUUCGUUAUGCUAUUCAAGACUUUGCACUUGUAACUGCCUCUAUUUCUAUUUGAUUCAGUGUAUAUGAAAUGGAAAUGAUCUUAUUUGCAGUCCCUCUCUGUUUAAAUUUGGAGUUGGGUUGUGUAAGUUUGUACGUUUGGUGUUCAUAUAUGAGGUAUUUACCAUGAUUUAGUUUCAGUAAAAUUUGGAUUGUCUAGGGAUUAGGGUUUAUAUUUUUCUAACUUGGUUUUAGUGUUUAUUAUCAAUUGUUUGGUUACUAUCCCCUUUAUCUUUGUAUAUCAUGGUGCUCAAUCCUUGAUCUACUAUACACAUAGUACCAUUUUAAAUAGUACUGUUCCAAUGGAAUAAAAGUCUUCUCGUAACCCUAUAACACACAUAUCCCUUCUCAUAAUCAUUACCUUAUACCCCUUGUUUAAAUUUACACGGUGAAAAUAUCUUGGUAAAUCAGGAGGUGUACGUGGCAUCCUCCUACUCUUUCAUAUGUAAUAGAUGUCAUCAACUUGUGUUAGGUGUUUAAUGUCAAGUGUAGUUUUACCACUCUCCCAUUAGAUUUGUAUCCAAGUAACAUAGUAUACAGUAUAUGGAAUGGAACAUUUAAAAUAAUAAAUACAUAGCACAAUUAUAUGGAAUAACAUAAUCGCAUGAGAUUGUACCUACGUUUCCCACUGCAUAUUCCAUGUGGCUCAUGAGGUUUAUAUUUCCAUAAGAAUUGGGUUUUCUAUGUAUUAGGGUUUAUAUUUCCCUAACUUGGGUUUAGUGUUUACUAUCAAGUGUUCUAUUACCAAUUCCAUUAGCUUUGUAUUUCAUGUUGGUCAUGAGGAAUAUAAAUACAUGUUCUCAAUAGUAUGACAUGUGGAUUUAAUUUCACAAAGAUGUGGGUUACCUAUGUAUUGGGGUUUAUAUUUCCUUAACUUGGGUUUAAUGUUUACUCUCAAAUGUUCUAUUACCAUUCCCAUUAGUUUUGUAUUUCAUGUGGCUAAUGCAGAAUAUAAAUACAUGUCCCUUGUAUUAUUGCACGUGGAUUUAGUUUACCGAAGAUUUCGGUUGCCAAUGAUGGAUUGGGGUUUAUAUUUCCCAAUCUUGGGUUUAGUGUUUGAUGUCAAGUGUUCUAUUAUCAUACCCAUUAGCUUUGUAUUUCAUGUUGCUCACGAAGAAUGUAAAUACAUUUCUCCACUAUUAUGGCAUGUGGAUUUAAUUUCAAAAAUAUAUGGGUUCGGUUGCCUAUGUAUUGGGAUUUAUAUUUCUCUAACUUGGGUUUAGUGAUUACUAUCAACUGUUCUAUUACCAUCUCCAUUAGUUUUGUAUUUCAUGUGGCUCAUUAGGAAUGUAAAUACAUGUCUUCAAUCUCCCAUUAGAUUACUUAAAUAUAUACAGGAUAUACUAUGCAACUAGUAUAUAAUUAACAUGGUAUAUGUUACAUGAAAUGGUAGUUCUCAGGUAAAUAACAUAGUACAUACUAUUUGCAUCUAUCUCAUAGAACAAACCAAUACAAAAUGACUACAUAUUUGGACAUGUUUUGUUCCGUCCUGAUAGUUUGUACUUUGUUCUUCUUAUUCUCCGUUUCUAUCUUGUGUUCUAUAACCCAACCACCAGUACGUUGUGUUUGAUUUGCGUCCAACUGUAUAAAUGAUAUGGUUAUGUUACCAUAUGGAAUAGUUCUACGCUAUAUAAAAUAGUAUCCUCUAUUAUGUGUAGUAGUAGUUGUUAAAUGGAAAUUAAACUUCUUUGUAGUGUUAUCAAGGGAACAUAAGAUGGUAACUUAUUUUUGCAAUAUCUGACUUAUUUUUGCAAUAUCUGUAUUUUGGGUAAAGUAUUACAUACUUUGCUUGUAUCAUGCACAUUUCAACUGUCCAAUGUAGAUGCUCUUUCAAUUGGAACUAUAUUUGUAUUUAUAUUAUUCUAUCUAAAAUAUAUAGUAUGAAACUACAGUUCUUGGAUUCUCCAAUAUUUGUUUAACGUUGUUUCUUUUACACUUACACUUUUCAGCAACUCCUCUCUCUGCAUCUUUUCCUUCCUUUGAUUUUGAAUAUGGUUUAUCCACUCGAUUCCUAAAGUGUCUCAUUGUUAUUAUGGGACACAAAACCACCACGUUGUUUGCUCCAUGUGUUGGAACCGGUAACCUGUUAUAUAGAAGAUUAUAACCGGGAGGAAUGAAGGCAAAAAGUCAGUGAGUGCAUUAUGUCAAAAUCAUGUCUAUUUUCUUGAUUUUUCACCGAAAUGUGGCUAUUAAGCCAAUUAGCCCUUUUUAGUAUACAUCUAAUUUUCUACAUCCAAUUAAUCCAAAAACAAAUACUUUUAGAACGGCAGUUGUUCAAAAAAAAAAAAUACUUUUAGACCGGCCGGGACAUUUAGCCGACGCGUCCACUCUUAGCGCGUCCUCGUCUGUGUGUUAGGUUACGUUUUGGCGCUACGGGAAUUCACCAGCAGAGAGAGAGAUGAUGACGAUGAUGCCUCCGCAGCCGCAAGGCUACCACCAUCCACAGACCCUGGAAGAAGUGCGAACCCUCUGGAUUGGAGAUUUGCAGUACUGGGUCGACGAAAAUUACCUCUCUUCCUGCUUCUCCCAAACCGGCGAGGUAACCUUAUUCUCUUCCUUCUCUCCGUGUUCCAAUUCCCAGCUCUCGAUUUCUCUGAAAUGGUUUGGUAUCUAAUUUCAUAGGGUUUGUUUAGUGAAUAGAUAAAGUAGAUAACUUUAGCUAUUAUAGAUAUCUAAUGGCUCUCACCAUGUUCAAUUCAAUUGGUACUAGUAGUAGUUGAUGAAUGUACUUUUUAUAUCUACUAGUAGAAAGUGUAGAGUAGAUUCUAUUCUGUAGACUUUAGUUUAUAUCUUUCUAUGUGCUUAAUCUCCUAAGCUUCAGAUGGAACAUGAUCCUCCCUAAGGAUAUUUUGAAUCAACGUGAUAAUGUUAUCUCUGUGUGCAGCUCGUUUCUGUCAAGGUAAUACGUAACAAGAUCACAGGCCAGCCAGAAGGUUACGGUUUCAUUGAGUUUAUAUCUCACGCUGCAGCAGAGAGAACCCUUCAGACCUACAACGGCACACCCAUGCCCGGAACUGAAAUUAACUUCCGUUUGAACUGGGCUUCUUUUGGUUCAGGCCAGAAAGUAGAUCCUGGAACCGACCAUUCCAUCUUUGUCGGAGAUUUAGCGCCUGAUGUUACUGAUUAUCUCCUUCAAGAGACGUUCCGUGUUCACUAUUCCUCCGUUAGAGGUGCCAAGGUUGUUACUGAUCCGAGCACUGGACGAUCUAAAGGCUAUGGGUUUGUGAAAUUUGCUGAGGAAAGUGAAAGGAACCGUGCGAUGGCUGAGAUGAAUGGGCUGUAUUGCUCAACGAGGCCUAUGCGUAUUAGUGCAGCAACGCCUAAGAAAACCGUUGGCUUGCAGCAACCGUAUGCUGCCAAAGGUAGGUGAACAAAAAAAAAACACACACGGUUUGAGUUUUGUUAAUAGAAUCUUGUUUAGUCCAAAUCGUUUAUCUAAUUGGGAGGUUUUCUCUAGCUGCUUACCCGGUUCCAGCCCCGGCUGCAGUUGCUGAACCAGUUCCAGCAUAUGUUGCGCAACCAGCACAGGUCAUUGCACCUGAAAAUGACAUCACCUGUACAACGGUAAGUUUCAUUUGAAAAGCUAGAGCUUUCUUCUCGACAUCCCGCUGCUUGUCUUCAUUCAUUGGUUUUGGUGUACAGGUUUCAGUUGCGGAUUUAGACCCAAAUGUUACAGAGGAAGAGCUGAAGAACGCAUUUUCGCCACUAGGAGAGGUUAUUUAUGUCAACAUACCUGAAACAAAGGGAUACGGUUUUGUUCAAUUCAAAACCAGGUAAAACAUCCGAUAAAUCUCAGAAUCUACAUGUGAUUGCUUCCAUGUAUUUGGUUAUUUCUAAGCUCUGUUUACUAAAAUUUUGACUUCUGCCCCCAUGCUGACCCCAGGACGUCAGCAGAAGAAGCCAUGCAGAAAAUGCAGGGACAUGUGAUUGGUCAACAAGCAGUACGCAUCUCGUGGAGCAAAAAUCCAGGACAGGUGAGAAAACGUCUGUUGUGACUUAUACUGAUGUGAUGUAGAGCCUUGCUCUACUCGCUGGUUCACUGAAUGUUGUUGAUGAUGACCUUUUGCUAUUUGUCAUAGGAUGGUUACGUCACACAAGCUGAUCCGAAUCAGUGGGGUGGGUAUUACGGUUAUGGGCAAGGCUAUGAUGCAUAUGCUUAUGGGACAGCUCAAGACCCAUCCGUGUACGCGUAUGGUGGAUAUGGCUAUCCCCAGUAUCCGCAACAGGUAAUGAAAUGAACUUUAAAAAUUAAUUUUCUUUUUGGUAACAUGUGGGUACUUAUUUCUUGUUCUUCAUUGUCCACAAUUGUUUCAGGGAGACGGUACACAAGAAGUUACAAACUCUGCGGCAGAGCAAGACUUGUAUGACCCUAUGGCCACUCCUGAUGUAGACAAGUAAAAAUUCUUAUUGACUUUCUUACACAUUCAUACCUUGGUGGGUGAUUAGUUGAAUGCCGUCAACUCAUUGUUCGUUUUGCAAUUGUAGGUUAAAUGCUGGUUACUUUUCGGUUCAUGCAAGUGCCAUACUAGGACGUUUAUCGUGGCAUCGUACCUCACCCCUCGCAUCAUAAUUGUCCAAAUGAUCACGAAGAGAAGAAUAGAGAAUGGUGGACUCUUUGAGAUGUUUAUUGUAUCCAUUGUACAAGUCACUGCUCUUUGUUUGAUUGUUUUGCCUGUACCGGAUCUUUUUUUUCUGUAAUCUGCAAUCAGGAUCUAGUAUCAUGAAAUGUACCAACUUUCUGGAACCUAUAAUGUUCUUACCUUUCUCUACUUGCUUUGAAAAAAGGUCUCCAGAGAGACUUAAGAGGCAUCUACUAUGAAUGCUAUCCAUGUUUGUAUGUUUUGCUCAGAUGUGAUUAUACAAACAUCACUAAUGCACAUAUUUGAAUUGAAAAAUGGAUUUUGAUACAUUUGAGAAACAUCUGAAACUUUUAAAUCAUUAGUAGACAAGCAUAUACAUAUAUUUACGAUCAUGAAACACCUCCCAUACAUCUCUCUCUUCUCCAGUUGAAUCAUGAGCAACCCAAGCCUACUUUACAAUAACAACUUUUCUUCUUCUUCUUGAUUCUCUUUUAUGUGCCUCUGCUUCAAGUUGUAUCAAAAGACAGUUCACGCCGCUUCUUAGGGUUAGGAUCAGGGUUCCCCUUUCUCAUCAUUGCCACAAACUCCUCAUAGUUUAUCCUCCCAUCCUACAAAUUAAAUUAGUUUUUUUUUUCAGUGUAUGUGCUUAUAAAAGUGAUCAAAGAUAGUAGAAGAAGCUUACAUUGUCUCCAUCAACUUCAGAAAUGAUUUCCUUAAUGUCUCUGCCAUCACUCAUGCCAAACUCCCUCAGGGCUUGCUCCAGCUCUUCCAUUGUGAUAUAUCUGGAAACCAAGACCAUCAUUUCUUUAACUAGUUUCAACUAUGAUAAACUGUUUAUGUAUGUGCUAAUCACUGUACUUACCCACUAUUGUCUUUGUCAAAGUGUUGGAAGGCUGAGAAGAGAUGCUCUUCUCUGUCAAGUCUGUUAAUGUGCAUUGUUGCCGCUAUGAACUCUCCAUAGUCUAUUGUUCCGUUGCCGUCAGCAUCAGCCUAUAGAAAACAGAAAAUAAUCAGUUCUUCUGGCAUCUUAAUAUAUAUAGAUAGAUAGCACAUAAGAGAAAAGAAAAUGACUUACAGCUUCCAUUAACUGUUGGACUUCGUAUUCAGAUAACCUUGUACCUUGCUUGGCAAGUCCUUGUCUUAGUUCCUCAAGAGUUAUUGUUCCGCUGUCAUCAGUGUCCAUACCUUUGAACAUCUCCUUCAAGCCCAUGAUUUCUUCUUCUGAUAAGCACCCAGCUAUCACCUGUUCAUUGAUGAAGCCAGUGAGAUAUAGUCAUCAUAUAUAUGCUUCUGAGAAAGAGAAAAAAAUAUUUUACCCUUAAAGCAACUUUCUUAAAGUUGUUCAUUGCUUUGAAUUGCUUGAGCCUUGACAUCACAGCAUUGUCAAGAGGAACAUCUGGAGCUUCUCCAUCCUCCUUAAUCCAUGGAUGGUCUUUUAAAUUACACAUAAGGAAAACAAAAUAUGUUAAAUGAAAAAAGUCUACUGCAAUAUAUAGUAGAUAAGAGAUGCUUACUGAGAACUUGAGCAGCGGUUAAUCUUUGUUUAGGAUCAGAGUUAAGCAUCUUCCUAACAAGAUCCUUAGCCUGGUGUGAAAUAGCUGGCCAUGGAUCACUUGCAAAAUCAAUCUGUCCACUUAGAAUUGCAUUGAAGAUCCCAUUCUCCGACUCUGAAAAUACAUGAAUGAUAAAAAUCAGUGUUAAAAAAGUCGGUUUAGGCGACCACCUAAACAUUAAUCCAUAAGGAGCCUAACUAUCCUCUAGCGAUUUUUUGAACAUUGAUAAAAAUCAACCUCUUUAUGUCUUUGUUUUGAAAAAUAGAUAAUGACGUACCAGCCCAGAAAGGUGGAACACCACAAAGGAGGAUAUACAACAUGACACCAAUGCUCCAAAUAUCAGCCUCUGGUCCAUACUUCCUCUUCAAAACCUCAGGUGCAAUGUAAUAAGCACUUCCAACAAUAUCUUUAAACUCCUCUCCUGGCUUGUAGAACACGGAAAGCCCAAAGUCCGUUGCCUUGAGAGGAGAGUUCUCUUCUUUGUUAAGCAACAAGAAGUUCUCAGGCUUCAAGUCUCUGUGGAUAACCCCCAUUGAAUGACAAGUAUGGAUGAUCUGCACAAUGGUCCUUAGCAACGAAGCCGCGGCUCUCUCAGAGUAAUGCCCUUUGGCUAUAAUCCUAUCAAACAACUCUCCUCCAGCACAAAGCUCCAUAACCAAAUGCACGUUGUGCUUAUCCUCGUAGGCUCCUUUGAGCUCCACGAUGUUUGGUUGACCCGUCAAGUGAUGCAUUAUCUGCACCUCUCUUCUUACGUCCUCGAUGUCUUCCUUGUUCACCAGCUUCCUUUUGGCAAUGGUCUUGCAUGCGAAUUGUAGUCCUGUUGCUUUUUGCGUGCAGAGAUAGGUUACACCGAACUGUCCACGACCAAGCUCUUUCCCNNNNNNNNNNNNNNNNNNNNNNNNNNNNNNNNNNNNNNNNNNNNNNNNNNNNNNNNNNNNNNNNNNNUUUCCCUAACGAAUAUGAGCUUUUUACAUCUUCCAUUGGUCGGCCUAAGACGGGUCCUAUGGGGCCUUGUUUGGUUGCGGGAGGAGGAGAUGCUGGUGAGUGUUUUGAUGCUUUCACAGAGGCUUCUGCACCAUCUCCGAGUCCUUUUUCCUGCGUGGGUUCGUCUCGUCCAUGAGCGCAACAAUUACCCAUUGUUGCAAUUAAGGGGAGAGGAAGUAAGUUCUCAACCAGGAAGAGAAAUACAAUGUUACAAUGCUAAAUGAUCUUUUUUUUUUCUUCCUCCUUCCUCUGUCUAUUCUUUUAGGAUUUAGGUUUCUUCUUUAGCAAGAAAGUUUAGGAGUUUUUGUUUAUGAAUGGCCAUUAAUAGUAUUUUUUUCUGUUUUUGCAAGUAUUAUUCAUUUUCGCUGGCCUUCAGUUUUCGAAACGAUAAUAGGUUUUUGCUGAUGGGGAGGGACUUUAGGAACCACAACCUCUCUGUAUUUUUUUGUUAUUUAAAGCAAUAUUAGAUUAUUUAUUUUAGGAUUUAUUACAAAAGGUUGAGAGAGAAUUUAGGAGGUUGCUUGUAUAUAUAUUUUAAUGACUAAAUGAACUUUAUAUAUAUAUAUAUUUAUCUCUCUGUUUCAGUAAAUAAAUAGUUUUAUAAGUUUUUUCUUGUUUCAUAAUAUAAGUUCUUCUCAAGUUUCAAUGCAAAAAAAUUAACAAAUAAAACAGCAUUUGGAUUAAAAUUGUGAUAGUUAAGUUUUUGGAUUAAAACAGUUAAUAAUUAUAGUUAUAUAAUUGUAUUUAGAUAUUCGUAUAUCUAUUUGGUUCUUGAUUAGAUACUGGUUUUCCGUUUCCAAAAAUACAAGAACCACUCAUAUAUAUUUGAUUCAAGAUUGUUAUUAUUUUUAUUUGGUUCAGGAUUUAUAUGCCCAAACCCAGUUUGAAGUUUGAACUAGGAAUGGUAUACAAUGUAAAGAUCUUGUUCUAGGGUGAUCGAAGGGGCAGUUUGAGAAAGCAGCCUCUAUUAGGACCCAGAGCAUGCCAAAUGUGAAUGGAAAUUGCAGUGUCUUACCGCAAAAUUGGGUUGAAACUUCUUAGAAAGUUGAUAAUAAAGCAGUCGGUUAAUAGUUUAAUUAGUUAAAUUGAGAAAGUUAAGAACAUAUUAUUCGGUUACAAGGGAGUCGUAAACGAAAAAUAAACGCAGAACCUACCUAAUCCAGAAUUUAAUUAAAUAUAGGUCAUGGAGCAGGAGGGAAGAGGCGGAUCAUACAAGCUGUUGCUGAGGUGGCGAACCAUGAUUAGUUGGACUGAUUUAAAUAGCGACUUAAAAGUUUUACCAGACCCGACCCGUGACUUCUCCGACACUGACUCACGACCCAAUCCCUCCACUCUCUUAUCUUUCUCUCUCAUAAACACAAGACAACACAAGUAGUAGUAGUAGGUGGAAAGCAAUGUCCCUUCCUCUUUUCUCUAUCUACUGCUAAACCUCCUUUUCCCUCUACAUCUCGCGGCGGAGACACGGAGGAAUCCUGCGGAGGAGGUGGAGAAGAGAGGAGACUUUGAUUUGGUUUGGUCUCUUUCAACUGUUCGUAUCGAAAAGAGGUGAAAUCGAAACCCUAAACCCUUUCGAGGCUGGAUCUGAGAUUAUGCUGUUGGGGCAAUGGAGGCUUCUUUAGCCGCUUUGGAGCGGCCACGAGCUGCUGCUUCGAAUACGGUAAUGGUGUUUCUUCGGUUUCUACUUUUUUUUUUUUUUUGUUCCUUUUCAUUGUCUGGGUGCAUUGGAAGCAGAUGAAUACAGAUGUUGUUUAUCACUGAGUGGGAUCGUAUGAUAAUUUAUUACAUAGUGGGUGUUUCCAUGAUUUAGUUGUCUGAAUUUCGGUUACUAGGUAUAUAUGUCGGAAUUGCUGAUAAUAGACAAAAGUAUAUUUGUCUACAUUGUCAGACCUUCUAGGAAUCUCAUGAUGUGAUAGAUACACAUGGCCUUUCAUUAGCUGUGAGACAAGCUCUUAUUAACUCCUGUGAUUGAUUUUUAACCAAUCAGUGCUGACGUGAGGUAUAUAGUAUCUGUGUCUGAGUACAUGUUCAUAAUAUCAAAAGAGAAGACUCUGAUGAACGAACUAUAAUUGCUGCUGAGGGGUUUUGUUAGAAUUAGAAGAGCCAUAUAUAAAUCAGGCAGAUCGGUGGUGUACUCUUUGGCUAAAAUACACACAAAACGGUAUCUAGGGAAGUGAUUUCUCAGUUAAUUAGAAAUGAGACACAUGGCAGAUAUAAUGGGUAUUCAAAUGGCUGAAUGAGUAGAAUGCACAUAAUGUGAACUGGAAACAAUCGACUUUACUUGUCUCUGCAACAAUCUGUUUUCUCUAGUUUUCUAAGUGUAAAUUUGGUAACUAAGUUGUUGGUUGUUACUAAUAUAUCAUGUAACUCUCGCAAUUGUUUGACAGGUUUUUAAGAGUGGUCCACUUUUCAUAUCAUCCAAAGGUAUCCUUGUGUAUUUCUGCGCCUCCCUAUUUCUCUAUUAAAAUUGUCACAUUUCACAAUGUUUUGCUCAGCUGUUCAUUUCCUUGUGGUUAUCGGAAUAGCAUAGUGCAUUAACUUUGUAUUUUGGCAUUCUGUGGAAUAGGACUGGGGUGGACUUCUUGGAAGAAACGCUGGUUCAUCCUCACACGUAACUCUUUGGUCUUCUUCAAAAAUGACCCUGUUAGUAUUUACUUCCUUACUGCCUUUUUCUACUUUUGGUUUUGCUCUGUGUAUGUUAAGAUUCAUGAUAAUCGUAUUGUAACUAAAAUUUUCACAGGGUUCACUACCACAAAAGGGUGGUGAAGUUAACAUAACCCUUGGUGGCAUCGACUUGAAUAACUCUGGAAGGUAUGCAGGAUUUUGCUAACCGAUUUUAAAAUUUCAUGGAGUUUAACUUACAGUGCCUUUUGUUUUUCAGUGUUGUGGUGAGAGAGGAUAAAAAAUUGUUGACCGUAUUAUUUCCUGAUGGGCGUGAUGGGAGAGCUUUCACUCUUAAGGUGCUUCGACAAUACAUUCUCCCUAGAUGUCUACUCGAAAAAUGAUCUUUUGUACUGAUGCUAACUUCUCUUUUUGUGAUGCAGGCCGAGACAUUUGAAGAUCUCCACGCCUGGAAAACUGCUCUUGAGCAGGCUCUUGCACACGCCCCCAAUGCAGCACUCAGCAUGGGUCAUAAUGGAAUAUUCCUUGCUGAAACUAACGAGGCUAUCGAAGGUUCCUUUCAUCAAUGUUUGUUAUAAUCCAUGUUACAACUUUGGCGCAUACGCAUCUUAUAUCUAUAAUAUUUGUUAUGCAUAUAAAUAUUCAUUCUUUCUAUUAUUUAUACGCCAUUCUGCCUUUAUUCUCCAUCAUUGCCAGGACGGGAUAAGAGUCCGUUAAAAUCAUUGGUUGUUGGAAGACCAAUCUUACUUGCUCUUGAAGAUAUUGAUGGAAGCCCAUCAUUCCUCGAGAAAGCUCUUCAGUUUAUUGAGAAAUAUGGUAAAUUCUUGAUUUCAUGGUCGUCCCUAUAUGAUUUUUGAAUCAAAAUGUGUCCAUAGUUCCUUCAGGGUACUUAACGCAUGUAAAGUAUCCAUUUCGAUGCUUCAUGAACUGUCAUCUCUAUGAUUCUAUUGUCUCAGUCAAUCGGUUGUACAAUUUGCUUGUAGUUAUAAUUAGAUGUACUUAUACUCUUCGAAUGCAUUUUUCUUUUUAACUGUUUUGUUUUUGUUUUCGUGGUCUUCUGUCUCGCCAGGAACUAAAAUUGAAGGAAUAUUAAGACAGGCUGCUGACGUGGAAGAGGUGGAACGUAGAGUUCAAGAAUAUGAACAGGGUACCUAUAAUCUUCUCAUGCUAUUAUAAUAUGUUCUUAGACUUCCCUGGUACUUAAGAUAUAUGCUCCCUCCAAUACCCGGUUUACAUAUUUUAGUUUCUUCCUCUCCAAAAUGAUACUUAGGGAAAACGGAGUUCGCUUUUGAUGAAGACCCGCAUGUUAUUGGAGACUGCAUUAAGGUAGUUUCCUCUCAACUUCUUCUUCUUCUGUUAGUUUGUGCAUUGUUACAAUGCUAAGGUUAUUCUACUCCACUCCACUUGCAGCAUGUGUUGAGGGAGUUGCCUUCUUCACCGGUGUCAGCAUCUUGUUGUACUGCCCUGCUGGAAGCUUACAGUGAGUCUCCUUACCCUUUUCUUCUUCCUCCGAUGCAGAUCUCUGUGUGUGUGUGUAUAUAUUUAUUUAAAUGAGUCUUCUGUGGAGAAUUUCUGGAGAUCUGACUGAAGCUCUGUGAAGUUGACCGCCUUUAAUCGUAUUGUUGGAUCAGGAAUCGAGUCUAAGGAGGCUCGCAUUAGUUCAUUGCGCUCUGCUCUGGCGGAAACAUUUCCUGAACCUAACAGACGUUUACUACAACGGUAUGUUUAUAAGAUAUAUUAGAUGUUGUAGUUGAUGUUACUUGUUUCCUAUCAAGUCUGACUCUACAGGCCAGAUGAAUGUCCUGAGGGUUUAAUGAGGUGUUUUUUAAAUCGUUGAAUAUUUGCGUUGUACCCUCAGGAUUCUGAAAAUGAUGCAUACUAUCUCGUCUCAUUUCCACGAAAAUCGAAUGAGCCCAUCUGCUGUAGCUGCUUGCAUGGCUCCUCUGCUCUUACGUCCUCUUCUUGCUGGUGAGUGUGAUCUAGAUGACGAAUUUGAUAGCGGCGAAGACAAUUCUGCGCAGCUUCUUGCUGCUGCUAAUGCUGCCAAUAAUGCUCAAGCCAUCAUUACUGUUUUCCUAGAGGAUUAUGGAAGUAUUUUCGAUGUAAGACUGAACUCAGAUAGUUUUAUACUAAUUUACUCAUGAUAUAUAUGCCUUAUAUAUUUGCAAUUUUGCAGGAAGAAAAUAUUCAAAGAUGUUCCAUGUCGACCGAAUCGCAUAUUGGUAAUAGUGGACCUGAUGAUUCUAGUGAUGAUGACAACAACUCAAAAAAUGAAUAUCAUAAUGCAGAGAAUGAAGUAGAACCAGUGACAGAUGAUGAUGACAACGAGCGUGCAUUGAGUGGGAAAAUGAGUGAGAGCAGCGGAGGCACAAGCAGUGAUCUCUAUGAGUACAAGGUUAUUUCUAGUGCUUCGUCCUUUAAUAUACUCACGCUUACAUGCCAAGUUUACAUGAAACAUCUUUUUGUAUGGUGUUGGUAAUGUCUAGUUAAAUAAUUGGUGAAUACAUUCUGUGUAGGGAUUUGUUGCUGAUGAUUCUGAUAUUGAAUCGCCUAGAGAGACAAGUGGUCCAAUACGUAAUUCAAACGUACGAACAGAUCAUGUUGUGAGAAAUCUUUUCAUCAACUCCACGGAUCAACAAGCUGGGGAGCAGAUAGGUGGUGAUGAUCCAACAAAAUAUGGAGAAAACUCAUGUCUAGUAGAUGGCGGCGAGUCUUUUCAAUCAGGGAAGGUUCUAAAUGUACUCACUCAUGGAAAUACAUUGGCUUCUCCUGGUCUUGAAUCAUCAAGUGAGAAGCCCGUGACUAAGGGCACACCCUCCUCUGUUCCUGCAAAGCGUGCAACAUUCUGGGGUCGUGGCAGUGUAUGUCCUUUGCCUGUCUUGAUCAAAUAGUUCUGAUUCCUAAAUGUGUCAGAUUUGACACGUUAGUUCAAGUAUAGUGGGUGCAUGAUAGAAAACUCUUCUCCUCCAGUUAAUUACAUAUGUCACGACUUAGCAUAGUCAUAUAGAGAUAAUGAAUGUCUGGUGGAAUAGUAUAUUAGUAUCUAAAAUUUUAUUUGCUCUUUGUUUGUUACAGGCCAGAAAGAGAUCCACAGAUAGAUCGUUUGAUUCUUCAGGAGAAGACGAGUAAGGCUUUCACUCUUGAGAUAAAAUGUUUCUGCUAGCAGUAUUCUCUUUCUAUGUUUUCUGCUAGCAAUAUUGUGAUCUGCUUCUUCAUCUAUUUGGUCUUAAGACUUGAAUCGAAGGCAUUUGAGAUUAUUCUUGCUGGGUGCUUGUGUACUGCUAAUUGGUUCAUAAAUUCUAUGUAGGCUUGCUAUACAGAGGCUUGAGACCACGAAAAAUGAAUUGCGACAACGAAUAGCAAAAGAGGUAAUCAUCUGCUGCCUUCAAAUCUAUUAUCUGACUUCACUAAGUCAUUAACAGGGGUCAUCAUUAUCGAAUAUAGGCCAGAGGUAAUGCGAUACUACAGGGUAGCUUAGAGAGAAGGAAGCAAGCGCUUCAUGAACGUCGUUUGUCGCUUGAACAAGAUGUAUAAAAUUUCUCUUCAAACUAUCCAUGUUUAUGAAUCUUUUCUAUCUAGAAUUAAGCCUAAUGUCAAAGGAAUGUUCUUUUGGUUUGAUGGGGGAAUACUUAUACAGGUGUCAAGAUUACAAGAGCAGUUGCAAGCCGAGAGAGAUCUCCGAGCAGCACUGGAGGUUGGUUUGAGCAUGUCUUCUGGCCAAUUCAGCUCACAUGGUGUGGACUCGAAAGUAAGUCUAUGUUUAAGGGAAAUGGUAUCUUUCUUUUUCUUUAGAACACUGAGUUCUUGUGAAGUAUUAAUGAUCCGUGCAAUAUUUGAAGACAAGGGCUGAGCUUGAGGAAAUUGCUCUUGCUGAGGCUGAUGUGGCAAGGCUGAAGCAGAAAGUCGCAGAACUUCACCAUCAGCUUAGCCAACAACGUCAGACUAACUUUGGUUCUUUCUCAGACGCGCGUGAUAGUCAUCAGUAUCUCCAGAAUCACAAUCCUCAAAAGUAAGUUGCAUCGCUACUUCCUACUUUCCUUACACAGGAGAGCUUAUAGUUCUUGUUUUUAUUUCAUGGCUUGUUCUUGAUCUUCGUAAUCAUGUUUAACAAGUAUUUCAGAUUAUCUUAUCAGCUAUAAAAUCUUUAACUCAGUACAGCUGAGAAGAUCGUUCAAAGUAGCUUUUUCCCCAGCAUAUCUUGUAUGUACUGUAAUUUGAUUGAUUCACAUGUAUUUCUGCAGAAGGUUUCUUCAACAAGAUUUUGAUUCCACUCUUGCCUUUGUAAAUCAUGAAAGGAAACAACGACACGAGGUAUUUUUUACUGAAGUUUCUGUCAUGGAUCAUUCUCUUUCAAAGUUAGGAUUAAGCCAAUAGAAUCUAUUGUCUAACCUGCAGGAGAAUAUACUGGGAGCGGAGUGGAGAAAUAGUAAAGGAGGAGGAUCUUUUGGUGUUGGCAAUAGCAGGCAACCGUCUCGUAAGCAAGUACAAGAACCAACUAACAUGGUCGACUCUAAAAGCAGCAGUGAAGAGUCUGUAGACAAGUUCUCAGCCAUGGAUUCUCCAUCUGCUCCGUCCAAUUCAAGAGCAUUAGAUGUAAGACCUUCUACUCAUUAUGAAUUCAUGACAAUGCAUACUCCUAACAUGCUAAUAAAAUGAACGGGUUUUGCAGAUAACAGAGUAUCCAAGGCCUAAUCAUCCGUCAGCAGCUGCAUCAGCAGCUCUGGUAGAGUUAACAACUCGUCUUGAUUUCUUCAAGGAAAGGCGUUCGCAGCUGAUGGAGCAGCUCCAUAGCCUGGAUCUUAACUACGGCGGAUCUUCUUCUUCUUCUCGAGAUUUCAUACACAGGCCAUCUUCUCCACCUUGGAACUAACACUGAGAAUAAUAAAGUAUAUGUUUGCUCUGUAUAUGUGUUUUUGAGUGAUGAUGUUUUCGUAUCUGUUCUGAUUAUUUUCUUCCGUGAAGACAAGAAUGACCUCAUUGUGUAUAUAAAAGACAUAUUUUGUUUUGUUUUGUUUUAUGUGAGAGGUUGGUUGGUUAUAUGUUCAGCCUUCAGGAGUAUGUAACUCUAAAGCCGUGUAUGGAUGGACGUUGGUCUCUUUAGACUCUGACCAGCCAAUUAACUGAUCAAUAUUGUAUUUUACAUCGUUUGGCGGUUCAUCCUUCAUGUGAUGCUAUCUCCAAUAAAAUUUUAUUUUUCGCUAUAAAAUGGAGUAAUACUAUAGUUAAACAUUUUCGAUGGUUCACUUUAUUUUUCACUAUAAAAUAAAAUAACUCUAGAGUUGAGUUAUAUAGUGAAAAAUAUAGUACUAAAGGUGUGGUAUUCAAUUCAGGAAUUUGAAAUAAUUCAUAAGGAAAAUUUUUUGCAGUAUUUUCAAAGAUUUGAUGAGAUUUUAAUGCAUUUAUCUAAUUCCUAUGCUUACUUCUAUUAUCGAUUUUAAAAGAAUAUACAUAAAUUUGAUAGAAUACUAAUUCUUCUAAAUUCUAUGAAUUUUCGAAUCCUUGUAUAUUUAAAAAGGUAACAAAAUUUAUUUUAUUCUUAAAACUGAAAAAAUAGUAAUAAGUACUACAUAGUUUAUGGAUUGUAGCAAUUUUAUUAAAAUCAUGAUACUAAUAAAUAAAAUAUAUGGAUCAUCUAAACUCAUAGCAUCUCUCCACAUAUCUUCUAAGUUCUGCUAUAGUUUUUCUCCAAGCAUUUGCAUUUUCUUUAUCUUGCUCUUGUGUUCGUAAAGGCUCUUAACAACGAUGUGCGAAAGCACACAAUCGAAAGUCUCAGAAGACAUCUUGAUUUGGUUAACAGACACUUGGUUUCUUCAGCAACAAGACAACAUUGACUUUAUAUUUGUUAAUUGUUGUUCUUUAUAUUUGCUGGUAACUCAUUAAUUAUCAUCCACAAAGAUCUCUUCAUUCUUCACGUACUUCUGAAAAAAAUGAAAAGCAGAGAAAUGCUAUUGUUUGUGUUUUCCUACGAUUCAUUACAAAUAUCUACAUAAGAGCAAAGAAUUGGUCAUUUGCAUUUAUACAUGACAUUUUCCAUUAAAUUCUUAUCAAAUACAAUUACUACAAAAUCUAUCAAAUAUUGAAUAACAACAAAAUUUAAAAUAAUUAAAAGAAUGAUUUCAAAUGCUUAAUCCAAUAACAAAAGAAUUUAAAAGAAUUGAUAAAAUCCAUAAUUGAAUAACAGUGAAAUUUAAUGGAAACUAUAAUACCUUCUAAUUCUAUCAUAUUUCUGAAUCCAAUACUCCCACCUUAGAGUGGAAAAUAGAAUGUUGUUGAAGAUGCCUUAAGUUGGUUUUGUUGUAGUCCUAUUCUAUUUUAAAAUAAAAAUAAAAUAAUUAAUAAAAAAUAAAUAUAUUAUUCCAUAAAUAGAAUAAAUAUAUUUUUAUUCUAUUAUGAAAUGAAAAAUAAAAUAAGAUCAAAGUAUUUGUUACUCCAAAUUUCAUUUUUGAAAAAAAUACAAUGAGACUAGAGAUACUCUAACUAGGUUUCAUACUUACAGUUGUAGAUUUUCUAAUCCUUAAUUGAAUAUAUAUAUUUAUUGUGUUUUUCUUUUAGAAAUAUUUAUUGUUGAAGGUAAAAAAUGAAAGAAAUUUAGACACAGAGGAAAAAAUUAUUUGAUGUCAAAAAGGAAUUAAAGAAAAGUUUUGAAAAUAUUCAUGGGAGAAAAGAAAAGACUAAGAACGAAGCCCAUAAAGCGAGGGAAAGAAAAUACUUGGACAAUAAAUCCUUUUUUUUAUUUUUUAUUUUUGUUAUAUUUCCCUCGUUCGCUCCUUAUACAUUAAGGAAAAAAAUCGACCUUAAAACACUUUCACCGUCUUUUUUGUUUUCUCUCUCUCUCUCUCUCUCUCUAUAAGAACCCUAGUUUCUCUCUCUCAUCGUACCGGUUUGUCAUUCCGCUGCUCGUAGUCGCAUAGCCAUUCGCAGAUCUGGUAAUUCAGUUUAUGUUUCCUAACGAUUUCGCUUCAAUUCUGGGUGGUUGCUUUCUUCUUUUAUCGUGUUGUUUGAUUUUUCUUAAUAAAAUCUUGGGAUUAGGGUUUUCUCCCCUUUUUCUAAAUUGAUGCUUGAUUUCGAUCCUCUCUUGCCGAUUACUAGUCAUGUUUAUCUUUCAGAGACGAAUGACUCACAUGGUCAUCCUGAUUUUGAUUUUUUUUCUUUGUCAAUAUCUCUGGUUGAUCACUUAUACAAUCGUUUGUUUUGUGUAGAGGGUCUUGAUUUCUCUAUUCAAGGUUUUGACUUGAACACAUGAUUCCAUAGUUUCCUUGUCGUUUUUGAUAAUUGAUUGGAACUUUAUCUGAUUAGAAUCAUGUAUGUAUAGGGCUUCCAACUACUUUAGAUGAUUGGUUAUGAUAAGAUUAUGUAUGUGUUGUUUAGCUAUUACAUUACUUUAUUUCCAUCCUUGUAGAUAAGGACACGAGCAUAUGUUUAAGCUUCGACCCUUUUACUGAGAUUCUGCUUCUUCUUUUUUUUCUUUAAUGCAGGUUGUGUGAAAUAACCUUGAAAGAUUUGAAUGGAUGAUGACUUUGCAGAUGGAUAAGAAUACUGCUUCCUCCCCAAGGGAGCGAGCCAAGUCCAUAUUCGAUAAGGUUCUCCCUCUCUUCACUUCUCUGAAUUUGGGUGUUUUUAACAUGCCUCUUAGAGGGUUUAUCAGUUCAUCUUUGUUGGGUUGUAUAGGCCGUGUUGUCUCUUUACUUGAGCCUAUGUCUUUUGUUAGUUUUGGAUCUUCAGCUCAGUGACAAUAUAUCCAUACUUUGCAGACUGUUGAGUUAGAAAUCAAGCGUAGGAAGGCUGCUCAGGCUCGGAAUCCUUCUGACCCGAAUCUGUGGCAGCAAAUUCGUGAGAAUUAUGAAGCAAUCGUUCUUGAAGAUCACACAUUUUCUGAGGAGCACAACAUUGAGUUUACUCUGUGGCAGCUGCAUUACAAACGGAUUGAAGACUUUAGAUCACACAUCAAUGCUGUCCUGGCUUCUAGUAACUCGAAUGCUCAAAAUUCAAAGGGUCCAUCUAUGGCUGACCGGGUCGCAAACCUCAAGCUCCAGUUCAGAACUUUCCUUUCAGAAGCAACUGGGUUUUACCAUGAAAUGAUCUUAAAAAUUAGAUCAAAGUAUGGUCUUCCCUUGGGUUAUUUUUCGGAGAGUCAAGAUAGUCAAAAUUUGGCUGAUAAGGAUGGAAAGAAGUUUGCAGAAGUUCAAAAAGGCUUGGUAUCUUGUCACCGUUGCUUAAUAUACCUUGGUGAUCUUGCUCGGUAUAAAGGAUUGUAUGGAGAGGGGGAUUCCAAGAACCGAGAGCAUGCUGCUGCCUCGAGUUACUAUUUGCAAGCAGCUUCUCUAUUGCCAGGCUGUGGAAACCCACAUCAUCAGGUUAUUUCCUUUUCUCUUUGACGCGUUAUUUUUUAGUUGGUACAGCUAUGUCGUACAGGUUGUAAUUGAUGGUAUCAACUUAAUGUCUCAGCUUGCUAUAAUUGCUUCCUAUUCCGGGGAUGAGUUUGCAGCAACAUAUCGUUAUUUCCGGAGUUUGGCUGUGGAGACUCCUUUCCCAACUGCCCGUGACAACUUGAUUGUUGCUUUUGAAAAGGUUAACUAAUAAUCUUAUGUUUUGUAAUUAUGUUAGGUGCUUAAGGCAAUCGCUAUUAACUUUCUUAGUACCCAAAUAUAAUACAUUUCUAUCUCUUUGAAUGGUUGAGCAGAAUCGUCUGAGUUAUGCCCAAUUGUUUGCGGCUCCCAAAGACUCACCUAGAAGGCCCACUGGUAAACGAAGAGGUAAAGGCCAAGAUAUUUCAUCGAAGAAAGAUGCGGACGUGGUAGCUGUUCCUGAGAAGGAUAAAGCAACUAGUGCAGAUGAGAAGCUCAAAGCAUUCUGCGUUAGAUUUGUUCGUCUAAACGGGAUUCUUUUUACCAGAACAAGGUAAUUUUUCUUUCUUUCUGAAAAUUAGUUUGUUCUAGCCACUUUUACUGGAUCUCUGGUAUAAUAUUUAUCACUCGUCUGUGUUCAGCCUCGAGACAUUCCCAGAUGUUCUUGCUUCCACUAGCAGCAGUUUUCGAGAUCUGAUUUCUUCGAGCUUAAAGGAAGAGAUGAGUUUUGGUAAAGACACCAGUGACAGCGCACUUUUUAUCGUCAGGCUCGUAACAAUUCUUAUAUUUAGCGUCGAUAACUCGAAGAAAGAAAAGGAAGGUCAGUCAUAUGCAGAAAUUGUGAAUCGUGUGGAGCUUGCUAGAAACUCCUUAACAGCAAGUUUUGAGUUACUUGGGCACCUAAUAGAGAAGUGUGCGCAACUGUGUGAUCUUUCGUCAAGUUACUUCUUGCCUGGUGUCUUAGUUUUUGUUGAAUGGUUGGCCUGUUGUCCUGAUAUUGCACAAGGGAGUGAUUCGGAUGAAAGACGGACUGCUGUGAGAAACAGCUUUUGGAACCAGUGUGUUACCUUCUUCAAUCAAAUCUUGUCUCUUGGGCCUAUGUAUAUUGAUGAUGUCGAAGAUGAGACUUGCUUCUCAAACAUGAGCAUGUAUGAUGAAAGAGAAACUGAAAACAGACUUGCACUGUGGGAGGACUAUGAGUUAAGAGGAUUCUUGCCAUUGCUUCCAGCUCAGUCUAUUCUCGACUUUUCAAGAAGACAUUCCUUUGCAACUGAAGGUCCCAAGGAAAAGAAAGCUCGUAUAAAGAGGAUCCUAGCAGCCGGGAAAGCAUUGACCAGUGUGAUCAAGGUUGAUCAGAAUCAUGUGUAUUUUGAUUCAAAGAAGAAGAAAUUUCUUGUCGGUUCUGAACCGUCAGAUGACUUGCUGGAUUCUCAUUCAAGCCCAGCGGAAGCUGAUAAUGCGUUUCAAGAUAACCAAGGAAUGGUGAAUCAUAUUACGCCAGUGACGCAGCGAUAUCAGCAGAUUCAUUUGGUUGAGGAGGAUGAUGAUGAAGAAAUUGUUUUCAAACCUCUAGUUACUGAGAAGAGGAAAGGGGCUUCUGACCAAAUACAUGUUCCUAAUGGAGGCUUCAAGAAUCCUGAUCAAGUUGCAACUGUGGGGGACUUCAAAGCUUUGAGUGUUUCAGAUGCAGCUUUUCAUGAAAAUCUCCUUCUCCAGGCAAGAGGCAACGCAAGUAUUCAACUGCCUGCAUCUGUUGGUUCUAACCUUCUGGCACACCUUCUGCCGUCAACACAGUCCCAGGGUGUGCAGUUGCAACAGGUUCAGACACAGGCAGUGCAUCCUCAGCCAGCUCAAUCGCUAGCCUCUGCACGACUUCAACCAAUGCAAUCACCGGUGGCACAACAAUCGCAGGCCGCACUACUUCAACAACUGCAUUCACGGGCUAUGCACUUUCAACAUCCUCAAGGACAGGUUCCACAUGUUUCACUGGCCCAGUCACAUUCUGCUUCCCUUGGUGGUAGCAAGUGGCUACCAGAAGAAGCUGCUAGUAGCCUAUCUAAUUUUGCUCAGAUGGGUAACGGUCAUGUGAUGAGUGAGAUGCAAGGAAAUCAUGGAGUCUCCUAUUACCCUGCACACUCAUUGCCGAUCCACCAGUCUUUCAAUGUCAAUGGUAUGGCUGGUAUGCCGUAUUCCCAGUCACGAACACCUGAAGCUAUGUUGCCACCCACAAUUGAUACUGUUUCAUCUUCUGGAAUUUUUUGUAAUGGCCUUGGCGUGCAAUCUUCGUUAGCAAGAAAAAGUCCAAUCGGUAGAGCCUCCAAGCAUCUUGGCCCACCCCCUGGGUUUAACUCAGUCCCCUCUAAGCUGCAAAAAGAGCCAGCACCUGGUCCAGAUAUGUCUGGCCGCACUCUACCGGCUGAUGAUUACAGCUGGUUGGAUGGAUACCAAGGCCAGUCUCACCAAGGCACUGCUUUCAACAGUUCUUUGAAUUACGGUUCUUCUGGGAAGCCAGAACACGUGGGUACCAGCAAUGGACUGAAUGGGCCUGCCAACUUUCCGUUCCCUGGAAAACAAGCUCCAGCGUCACAGGUCAAAGCAAAAUUUCCAUACUUUCAGCAUCCUAAGGAAGAUAACUUUGUGAACGGAAACGAUCAAUUUACUCAACUCCCCCAGCAAUAUCCAGGACAUCCCAGUUGGUCGGGUCAUCGCUUUGUGUGAGAUCAGAAAGGAAGAGAGUAACACGGUAAGAGUAGGCAUAAAGCUCCUUUCCAUUAUUAUCUAAUGCUUUGUGUAAGCUCUUACUCUUGUGGUGUUGAUCGAUGUAUAUGGGGAAUGAUUCAGGUGAGUGUUACGUAUGUUCUCAGCUACCUAACUCCAACUGAGCCUCGUUCUGUUGAAGUAUCUAGUUGGAUUCUUUGUGGCCUUGGCUUCUUGUGGGGCGCUUCCUACCUGACAGGUUCGUCUUUAAGCUAGCGUUGCAGUUACGCAUUCAGACAUGUUUUGGCAGUCAUUUGUUUAUUAUACUAACCAUUAAUGUUAUUUGAUGGUAGAUUCAGGAGACAGCUUAUGUUGGUGUAAGAGAUGUUUGGUAACAAGAAUGAAUGGUUUCUACGGAAUUUAUAGGAGUAAAGUGCCUUUCUCUCACUUGAAGUGGAUGAUGUUAGACCCAUAUGAAUGAAUAAGAAAGGAAACGUACGUUGUGGCUUGCUCUGGAUGAAGCACACACUUUAUCAUCCCUUUAUAUCUAUUUAUUUUCUUGCGAAUAAUUGCACCGAAUCUCACUCUCUUGGAUUGCUUUCCAGUUUCACUUUCAUCUCAUUUGUUCUGUGUGUUUCAAACUUCUCUCUGUUUUACUUAAGUUGAACAUGUGAAACUCCGCAAAUGGAUUUGAAUAAAAAGAACUCGUUUCUUGAAACAAUCUCGUUCGUGUCCAUGAUUCUUUUUACAAGAGGUGGCAAGCAUACUAUGAGUUCAUGAUCGUGUUUGUGAAAAGCGUUUGAAAUAGGUAUUAAUGGUCCACUAAAACAAUUGGAAUAAUGCAGCUUUCAUAUAGAAAUAAAAAUAUUCUAAAGAGUCGACUUGGAAUAAGACUUUCGGAGUAAAAUCCCCCAGCAAAGGAAACGAUAGAACACGAAGAAGGCAAGCAUUAUCCCGACAUUGAUCCACCGUGUGUCCUUGUCAAGCCCUCUCUUCCUCAACACAUCUUCUCCCGUCAACAAACACCCCAUGUCCCCUCCCGAGAAGCANNNNNNNNNNNNNNNNNNNNNNNNNNNNNNNNNNNNNNNNNNNNNNNNNNNNNNNNCCCGAGAAGCCCUCUUUCCGCAAGCUCCAGUACUCGUUCACCAGCAUCGACUCCAGUGGGUAACGGUACAAAGAAACAUAAUACAUGAACAUCCACGGCUUCGGUAUCUUUUCCUUGGGAAUGAAGUAACCUGAGAAGAGAAAGAAAGCUCCAAGAACAGUGCAGAUAAGCGAGUUUCCAGAGAUGAAGUCCGGAGCAACCGCGCUGAGGAAGAGCACUAAAGAACUAGCCAUGAGGAUGAUUAGCCAAACGCAGAGCACGAAGAAGGAAAACGCAUGAACGGACGGGUUUAAACCCACGAUCCAGUACACUGGUAUGGAGAAGAGAAGCGAUACAACGAAUAAAAACGGCACAAACGCGAUAGUGUUCGCGAUCAUGUAAGACGAGAUUCUGUACGAUCCUCGAGACGUUUCUUUCAUCAAAACGCGGCGUUCUCGGAGGUAAAUAGGAAGCGCUUCCACCGUGGAGGACAAGAGGAAGCUUAAGCUGAAGGCGAAGAGUCCUAGCCUCUCCGCCACGCCUUCUUCGUCGCGUUUGAGUCUCGUGUACACGCUCCCUAGACCUAAUCCCGCAACGACCGCUUGCAUCGUUCUCGCUAGGAAGAGCUGUUUCGUCCUGUAGAUGAUUUUGCAGAACCUCGAGCAGAGGAAUGAGAUCUCCGCUACGUCGAAGAGACUGCGAAACUCUUGCUUCUUAGCUAUCGUAUCAUCGUUCUCGUUCUCGAUCGAUGCCGAUGAUGAUGAUAGCAAAGAUCGAGAGGAGUCUGUUUGGUUCGAAUCGCGUAACGAAUCGACGAUCUCCAUCGCGAAUUCGAUCGGAUUCAACUGCUCGGGGAUCUGAAACCCUAGCUUGGCGAUCGAGUCCUCGAGAUGCUCGAGAUUCCCGAAGUGGAUCACCGAUCCGCGAGAGAGGAUCAAGUAAUCUGAGAUGUGAUCGAGGAUUCUAUAGCUAGGCUGAUGGAUCGAGAAGACGACGGUUCUCUGCUUCGUCUUCGCCAUGUUCGCUAAAAGCUCCACGACCUGAAGCGAGUUCCGGCUAUCUAAACCGGAAGUCGGUUCGUCGAGGAGAAGAAUCGGCGGGUCGCGGAUCAUCUCAACGGCUAUAGAGACUCUCUUCCUCUCUCCGCCGGAGACUCCGCGAUCCUCUUCGUCUCCUUCCCCGACGAAGCUGUCUUGAACGAGGACGAGACCGAGGUCCCUCAGCAAGGUCUCCACUCUCUCUUCCUUGUCCUUGGCCGUUGAGUCUCGUAAGCUGAACUUGGCGCUGUACAUUAACGUCUCUUUGACUGUAAGCAGAGGGAGGAGAUCGUCGUCUUGAGGGACGAACCCGCACAGUCUCCGUAACUGAUUGUUGUUGCUGAUUCUAGCGUUGUUUAUUAAAAUUGUGGAGGAGGGAUCUAGUGCCUUGUGGUUUACUCUACCUGAAAUGAUUUUUAAGAGUGUGGAUUUGCCUGUUCCGCUUGGGCCCACCACGGCGAGGAGUUUUGAGGGUUGGGUUGUGAAGUUUACGGAUUUGAGGAUGGUGACGUGGUGGAUGGUGUAAGAGAGGUUAGCGACGGUUAGAGAGUAGCGGUUAGGUGUUGGGAGUGGUGAAGAUGAAAAGGAAGAGGAAGCUGAGGAGUAUUCGUCGGGGGAGUUUGAUGCUGAGAAGAGUAUGAUUGAGUCUUCUUCGCGGCGGUUUGUGCUCACAGAAGGAGGAGGGUGGAAGCAAGAAGCCAUGGUGUGUGUGUUGUUCAUAUCUUCAUCUCAGAAUGUCUCUACUAAAAUGGUUUUUAUGAGUUUGAAGUUCUUCUUUUCUUCAGAAUUGGUGGACCAACAAAAGAAACAAGUUUUAAUGGUAGGCAGAGGUUGGUGUAACUCUUCACAAGCUAUGUAUUCUAAUUCUAUCUGGUUGGUCAUUAAUUUGUUUUAUUUGGUGAGUUGCUCAUAUCUAAUAUGUACUUUGAAUAGCAUAAUAUGUACUCUGAAUAGCAUGUAUGUAAAAACUGUUUUUGUUGUUGACCAACACAUGUAAGUGUAAUAGUAAUAUGACGUAUGUUAUAUGGAAACGGAAGCGGGUACAUGGAACCGGAAGCGUAUGGAAGCGCCGAAGCGAGAUUUAAAAAAAAAAUAGGAAGCGGAUACAUGUUAGAAGCGUAACCAUAUUUAUAUAUAUAUAUAUAUAUACACAUAUAUUAGAACUUUUUUAAAAAUAUAGAACUAAAAAUUAUAUGAUUUAAAUUUAUAAUAAAGCAUUUAUUUAUUUAUGAUAAUUUUGAAAUGAUUUCGUAUUGAAACUGUGAAAAUACACAUAAAUUAAAUUUAAAUAAAUUAUUAUAUUAAUUAUUUUCAUACUUUAUAAUUAAUUGACAUAUUAUAUUUGAAUAUAUGAUUUAUAUUUAAUAAAAACUCAAUGCGUAAAGAUAAUUGAGAGUAUUAAUUUUAAUAUUUGCAUAUCUCUAUUCUCUCUAUUCAAUACUAUUGGAUUUUAUAUAAAUUAAAAACUAUAAUUUUAUAUUUUUAUUGAUCUAAGACAUUGUGUAUUUUUUUAAAGAAUGGAAGCGUGAUUCCAAAACGGAAUCGUAAGCUUCCAACGUGUUUUUAAAGAGAAUAUUUUAGAAGCGUUUUGGAAGCGAGAUUCCGUAAGCUUCCACAAAGUUCCGAUUCUGAUUCCGGAGCGGGAAGCGGACGUCCGAUGAAGUUUCCAUGUGCAACGUAGGUAAUAUCAAACAAACAAGUCACGUGGAUUAAUUACUAAAAUGUAAUUCCAAUGGUAUAAUGUUUUGUUUUCUCUUAUGCACACCCUUCUUGUUAGCUUCAGUCUGCUCCAAACCAUUAGUACUGCUUCAACUUCAACAGCAAUUAAUAGCAUUUAUAGAGACAAAGACAGCGCAUGUUUAUAGAAUUUACAGAAGAAUUUACAAGAGAAGAACACCCAAACUGUAAUGAAUGAUGAUGUAAAAACACUCCUAAUCUCUCUGGCUCUCUCUUGUGUUUUGUUAUAAACACCAAUAAACCUAUGAAAACCCGGGCUAAAGAAAAGAAGUUAAUGAGCCAAGUCUUCACUUCCUACACCCACACUUGAUUUGUCAACGACUAUCCGUACAUUGUAUUGUUCGUAAACUCGUCCUCUGUUAUCUGCCCACCACUCUUCUGCUUGCUUCUCGCUAAACCUCUUUCGGCUGCCAUCACAAUCAUUCUCGGAUUAUUGUUUCAUUUCAUCACUAACUAAAAAGGUAACAUUCAAACGAAGUCUCUAAACAAUCAGAAAGAAGAAGUUUACCUGAAACGGACGCGUUUGAGAUCCCUUGUCCCUCCUGCUAAGGCUGUGAGAGUGAUGUACACACCAGGCUCAUCUUGUUCAACCCACUCAUUUUCAUUACGGGGCUCACUUUCUUUCGCUCGAGUGCUGAUUCUAUUUAUCGGUUCCGCAGCAUGAUUCGCUUGCUGUCGGUAACUUGCGCCAUCAAAAACAGGCGUGCUGGUCCCGUUUGAAAACAUUGGGACGGUGUUUAGGACGUCAGGAUCAGUUUCUCGGCUGUUUGGACGGUUUGGUGUGUUAGACGAAGGGGCAAUGUAUUCAGGACUAGAUCCAAACGAAUUAAGAGAAGGAGACUUGAUAGUCCGAGCUGAUCCAACAUGUAAUCUUUCAGCCAUGUCUUUCAACUGCAUGGUUUCCAUUGUAAGAAUCAGUAAGUUGCAUAACAGCAUUUCUUCCAUUCAUUUUAAAUAGCACAGAGGAAAGCUUUACCUGAGCGGUAAGUGAUUUAAUCACAUCUUUAGCUGCUUUGCAUCUCGCUGUUUCCUCGCCAGCAGUUGCUAGUGCCUCCUUUAGUUGUUUGGUUGUUCUUUCCAGUUCAACUUCUUGAAGCUGUGCCUUUCGUGUAAGAAUUUCAACCUGUGAUAGUCAUUAACUAGUGAAUUAGCAAAGAAAUCAAAUUGAAACGAUUGAGAGGACAAAUGGUUCCAACUAAACAAAAUCCUUGGGGAAUAUCUUUAUACAAUUCGAGGAGCAUUAUCUCACCAAAUAUUUGGUCCAUCUAGGCACACAAGCGAUACAGUAAACAAAAAGAAACUUGCUAUGAUCAACUGUUUGGUCCAUCUAUGAUACUGGUUCGUUAUCAACCAGAAACACAACUGGACUAUCGUUAAACAAAGUUGCAUGAUCUCACCAACUAUGUUUUCUUCCCAUGUGUGAACACAGGAAAGCGUGAAGAAUUAUGGAAUAAGAACCAAGAACCAGAGUGUGUGAAGCAGCUUACUUGAGUUCUUAGCAUAACCACCUCCUGGCUUAUGUUAUCAUUGGUUCUCUUAGUAUCAUCCACGACAAUUUUUGGUGUAGUUAGUCCUGAAAGAGUGGGAGUUGGCGUUGUUGAGCGAGCUGGUGGGCUUAGGCGUCUUGAUACUGGUGAAGUUGCCCGAGACACAAUUCGGGAACCAGGAACAGACGCUGAGAAGAAUUUCUUUGAUGAUCCAAAAGUUGGAUUAAAAGACUUGGUUACGUUUAGUGAACCCCUGUGAGAGCCUCCACUUGGUAUUGGUGAGACACGACUACUAUUAAAUUCGUACUUCUUAUUCUUCUUGGAUUGGCUCUCCACUUGCCUCAUGGGCUCCACCAAUGAGAAUCUAGCUAAAUGUCCGUCUGAUCUAGAAUUCAACUUCUCGUCUCUGUCAACUGCAUCUGAUCCCUGGUUGACACUUUCUCUUCGACUCAAGGAAGAAUGAGAUGAUGCAUCAGCUUCAAUGGUCUUUUUCAAUUUGUUAUAACACUUGUCACACACUCGAUAUGGUUUGUUCGGGUUCGGUGCCAUACAAGCCUUCAGGGACUUUUUAUUACUGCAGGAAUGGCAAAACACAAGUCCACAGUUAUAGCAGUUGUGCCGCUUUCUCUUGAAAUUGAAAGGCUGACGGCAACCUGAACACAUGGACUGAUCCAUCCCUGAUGCCCACUUGUGAAGACAGACAGCUGCGGUAAAGUUAGAGCCACAUGCAAUGGUUUUCACCUGUUUAUCCUUAAGCGACUCAACCAGUGUUGGGGAGCUUCUAUCAUCUGCAUCCCCAUGGCCUAGUCUACCGUUUGAUCCUUUUCCCCAAGUGUAAACCUCAGUCUUUGAAGUUAAAACUGCAACAUGAUAAGCUCCGCAAGCAAUUUCUUCGACAAAACUCUUGUGAAGUUUACCUUCAACGCGGGCUGGUAGCUUUCCAUCAGUAUGUGGGUUUCCGAGCUGGCCAUAAACAGGACUACCCACAGUAUAGACAUGGCCCAAUGUUGUUAGUGCAACUGUUAGGCUAUGUCCACACGCAACUUGACAAAAAUUAGGUUCUACAAGAGCUGCUACACAGGUAGGCACGAGUUUUGGUUCUUUGUCACCAUGACCAAGACGAUUCUUAUCACCAUCACCCCAUGUGAAGAGCUUUCCUGAGGAGCAGUUACUAGAGCUCGAGCUUCCAACCAUAACUUCUACAACUGCGGCUGUGUGCCAUAUACCACAGGCAGCCCGGACAGUGCGAAGACCUUUCAAGGAGUCUACCUCUCUGGGUAUGAAAACACUUUUCCUGUCUCCAUGGCCCAAAACACCAAAGGUCCCAUCACCAAAAGUGAACAACUGCCCAGCAGAAGUCACAACAGCUGUGUGGUAAGGUCCACAAGCGAUAGAUGAUACAUGUAUCCCCUCCAUCAAAAAAUUCACUCUUUUCGGGAUCCAGUGGCUGACUUCAUUUCCAUGUCCCAGAAUACCAAAAUCUCCUUUACCCCAAGUAUACAAAUCCCCCGAUAGAGAAACUGCACAACUAUGGUAUUCGCCACAUGCUACAAGCUCAAUAUUAGUGGUACUGAGUGCAUCAAUAAGCUUUGGAUGCUGAACAUUGGAAUCUACACCAUGGCCAAGCCUACCCUCAGAUUCCUCUCCCCAGGAAAAACUUUCUCCUUGUUUUGUCACAAGGACAGCAUGCUGUUCACCACAAGCAAUAUUCUGGACAUCAAGUACUAUAGAAGAUUCUAAAGCUUUUGGCACUAAGGAAUCCAUUUUGAUCUCAAACGAACUUCCAACUAUAUGGUUUCCACCACCCAAAACACCUUCACCUAUUCCUUCUCCCCAAAUGAAAACGUCUCCUAACGCAUCUCCAUCAUCAUGACCAGAGCCAUGGCUCGAAGAACUAAUAGCACUUGACAGACUAACUCUAAAAGCAUCCAUACCCAUGCCUUUAAUGUGACCGUGUAUGGUAUCCGAGGCUCCGGAUGACAAAGAGUGAACUGAGAUACUUGCCGGAUCUGAAGGAAAAUAUCCUUUUGGAGGAAGUGCAUACAAUGUCAUGUCUGAAAAUGCCUUGCCAAUGCCAUUCUUAGGCGGGCUCUCAUACGGAGUGUGAAGACAAUGGUGAUUAGAGCCAUCCUGAAAGAUAACAGAAAAUUACCUUAGUUAAGACAUGCAGAAAUGAAAUGGAAUAAAAGAUGAAAUGGACCAUUUCAUUCUAGUACUUUAAGGAAACUAUCAUUGCUGCUAAAGGGAGAAUGUAAAGGGGAGCUUCUCCGAGUAUAAGUCCUGGGACUGUUAGCUUCGGAUGGCGUCUCAUCACUUCUUGAGUCGGUCCUAAAUCUCCGUUGAUGGCAACGAGAGAUUACGGCUUUUAAACCAGUAAACCACACUUGAGCCUCAUCUUUAUCCUUGCAUAUCUAUGAAAUAUAAUUCCAACAUCUGAUUAAUGAACUUCCAAUCAUAACAGAUUUAGAUUAUAACGAUUUUAAAGAGAAACUUAGAAACACUAAAAGAAAAACCUCACCAAAUCCAAUGACCUCUCGUCGUAUAUUAGCGAAAACGAUUGAUAUUCCUUCUCGGGACGUGGACAUCUCUGAAAAAUUGGCUGCAAGAGAAACGCAAUGGAUGGAGGACGUAUCAGAAUAUCACACUAGAUAUGCAGGAUCAAAAUGUGCAACAAACAACUAAAGGAAGAUUGGCUCUUGCAAAUGACAUUGUCAUAAGAAACAGUACUAGUCUCACGAAACUUAUUCUGAACAAUUUUAAUGCCAGAUCAAGAGAGAACUGAUUGACAUUGUCCACAGGUGUAAAAACUUACAGUGCGCUGGCCAGAUAUGAUCCUAGAAACAUGGCUCAGCUUCAAAUGUUUCUCUUCCUUCCCCGAGAACCAUAUCAAAACAGACUCAUCCUGAAAGUUAACAGGACAAAGGUGUUUACUUAGACACAGAACAAUAAGACCCCACAGACAUUAAGCAGCAGAGCCUCGUAAAGAAUCCAGAAAUAAAAAAAGGAGAGCGGAAAGAGUUAGUUACUCGAAAUCCUUACAUUAGAAAGGCGAAAAGGACAGAACUUAGGCUUUCCCCUUCUUCCAUACUUGAGCAAAUAAGCUCCCAUUUUCAGGGCAGUGACAGCCUGAUAACAAAGAAAAUCUCAGAGUAAGAAAAGUAAUUAGUUGCAGCUUAGAAACAAUGAUACAACAAAACAUUAAAGAAGAGAAUAAGCAGCGGUGGAGGAGACACAAGAAUUUCAAUCCAACACCAUGAACAAUGAGCUAAGAUAAUAGAGAUGAUCAAUACUACAUUCUGAGAAACUUGACCUGAUAUAAAAAAAAAAAACAUGAAGUAAAAAGAAAAUUCAGGAAUUGCAUUUUCUUUAUGACACAAGCUUGGAGUCUCCAAAAGGUGGACUUUAAGUAUAAUAAUAAAUAUAUAAGCCAAACCUCGUCACUAAUUAAGAAUCAAGUUCCCAAUGUUCAGGUCUCGCCUAAGCUAAUAAUCUCCUCCUCCAAUUCCACAAAAGAAGUAAGAAGCAACGAUCAAUAGAAAAUCAUAGAGUGAGAGUAUAUUAUAAACAACCAACGGUGAGCAUUAACGAUGGACGGACGGACCUGCUCAAUAUCCCUCGCAACUACAGGAUCAGCUCUGCUAAGACCCGACGCCAUUUUCAAACCACUAGCAAACCUCGGAGAAAUUCACACACUCCGAACAGUAACAGCUAAAGAGCCGCCGCUUAAUCAAAAAGAUUUAAGUAAAUCUGUUGAUAUGCUUAAUUAAGUGAAGAAUCUAGAGACGAGGCAUAUGAAUAUGAUCUUCUACUACUACUCUCAACUCUCAAGUGUAUAGCGAGCGAGAGAGAGAGAGAGAGACCAAAAGGCAGAUUCUGACUAGAGAAAAAGACGCACACUUUAUUUUUCUUCCUUGCAAAUAAUAUUAAUUUAUUGAGAGCUUUAAUAUAUAUAAAUCCCUGCUUUACUGUCGUUAAUUACGGGUUUAUUAUACUUGUAAAGGUGUAAGUAAUGAUCCAUACAUCGACAAGGAGGAACUUGAUAUACAGAGUUCUAUGGUUUGUACAUAUACAUGAUAAAUUUAUUUUGUAUCCGUAAUCUGUAAUCUCAGUAAAUCAGUCACUUUCCUGAAACGUUUUUUUUUUUUUCUUUCUUUGACGAAUUUAUCUUCUUUCAAUCUGCCGGUUCCUUGUAUUAGUUUGGAAUAUUAACUCGUCUAAAAAUUAAAACCAUCUCAUAGACUUUCAAGAGAUUUAGAAGAUUUCUUUUUCUUUUUAAAUAGAAUUUUUCAUUUUUCAUGUCUAACUGUUUUCUAUUUUAAUAAGGUUAGCCAUAUGUAUGUAAGCUAGUUCUCUCUGGAACUUAGAAAAUAAAGAUAGAAAGAAUAAGUUUUUGGUCUUGUGAAGAAACAUUAUGGUGGGUACGAUUGGCUUCAUCAUAAUGAGCGCCUUUGUGUUUGGUUUGGUCAUCUUGGUCUUUCUCUGGCAUUGUGCACGGAUUUGGUGUGGCGGCACCCGCAAAGUUGUGCCCCACUAAUGGUGGUUGACAACAAUUUUAGUUUAACUAUUGUUUUGUUUUAAGAUGAUUUUCUGUGUGUUUUAACGAGCGAUGCAAUUUUUAGAUUACCAGGGGUAUAGCCUCCGCGCAAGCGCGAAGCCGGAUAAGUUACUGAUCGUUGUGUAGUUUUGUGUACGUGAUUUUGUCGUUAAUUUUUUUCCACUUUUGUUUUUCCGUGUUGUAUAUAAUGGUGAUGAACAUAACAUUUGGAAGUCACACAGUUUGAUUAAGUUGAUAUAAGAAUGACUGGCGAAUUCAUAUGCAUUAUUUUCGUAAUGAUUUGAUCAACCAUUAGCGUUAUUAGCGCUUUCAUGUUCAAAAGAUAAAGUUUACGAAAUUGUUUAGUAUUUACUUAGGUAGUUGUUAAUAUAUAAAACAAAUAGUGUAAUGAAAAAAAUAUAAAAUUUGAAUUCAAAAAAUUAAACAAUUUAUCGAACAAUAAAUUAAAUUAUUUUCUUAUUUUACCUAAAUUAAUUUCAAAAUAUAGAAUUGUAAUAAACUAUUUUUUUUAAAAAAAUUAAUAACUCUAGAAAAAUUUAUAAAAUUAUACGGUUGCAAAAUUAUUUAUUUUUAGAGUUUUACUCGAUUUUGUUAAAAAUAGUUUAUGGUGGACAAAAAAAUGUCAGAAAUAGAUAAACCAAAAAAAUACACCACUGACAAAUCUUGUAUGAGUUAGAACCUGUCGACGUUUCAUUAAUAAUCCAAAAUAGAAAUAAAAUCUCCGAACAGAGAAAACAUGCAAGGGAAAAAAUAUCCAAAGUUUAUGAUGGAAAACAAAGAUAAUAGCAGUUUUUAAAAUUGCAUAGAAAAGACGUUGACGGGCUGGGCUGAUAGAAAUAUAAUAGAUAUUUCCAAUCACUCACGGCAGCACUUGCGGUUGUUCUGAGCGUCUGAAAUCUCUGGAGGAUCUGCUGCAGCACAUUCCUCAUCGACCUUGUCUCCCAAAACAGACGGGCCCGAUGUUGCUAUCAAUCCUACGUCACCAUCACUGCUUGGAAGAAUGUUCUCACUGUGCUCCUGAAAUACAUGAACAUGAUGACAAGUAAAAUUAGACAACCUUGCAAUGGUUCUCUAUGAUGGUAUCUUCAGUGAUGGUGGAGAUAGUGAAGGCACAAUGAUUGUUAUUAAUGGCUUCCAUCAAUUUGAGAGCUCUCCAUGUUUUGGGCUAGAUCUUGGCAAGUAGCUAUGAACACAUCAAACACUAUGUUGCUGGCAUGAGAUUUGAAUCGACCUAGAGAGCCUGCAACAACAUAGACGGUGAGGUUCUUGAGUAUAUUGAGCUCCACCAAGCCAGCAACAUAGUGUUUGUUAAUGUCGAGUGUGUCUGGCUUGAACAGUUUGUAGCCUCGUAAAUCUAAUUGACAUGCAUCCACAAAAUCAUUAUUUCAUCAGCAAAAGUUUCAAUCUUGAGUCGAACCACACCACAAACAUAUAAAAUUUUACAUCUUGGUGGUACCUGUUGAAAAUGGCAGCCGACGUUUCAAAGUGAUCUGGAUUCUCCUAAGAAGGCUUAAGUUCCAUAGCACGUUGGCACGACAAAAGCCAUACAAUAGGCGCUCUAGUUGUACCAUCCUUAAGCUCCGCCUGAGACGUACCUAGCCUUGCAGCCUAUGUUAGUCCUAGCAACCAAAUAACUUUCCGUUAUAGCCGAUCAUAACAGAGUUUACAUCAUAUUAGUUAAUCGGACAACUUCAAAGCGAUCAAUCAACUUUCACGAUCGACCCCAUAUCGUAGCGAUGGAUGGUAGUGAUUCACACGAACUGGGAUAAAACCGUGGAUCUCGGAAUUCUGCCCAGAGAAACAUACGCUUAAAGUUUUAAAACUGAUAACUUGAAUAUUGAUUAAACAAAUAUGGUAUAUAGUAUUCCAUAGAAAGUCAAAUUGUCAAUACCUUUUCCUAGGUACUAUGUUCUAGGCAGAGAAAGGUGGCGGGGACAACGACCGAUUAAGCAACAACAACACUGGAGGCUGACAUCUUUGAAGGUUGGCUAAAAGCUGCGACAGUUCAAUUUAGGAGUAAUUUAAUAAGAGAUAUGAGUCUCAAGGUUUGUUUGAGGAAUUAUAUAUACAGAGACGGAUCGUUUCAGAGGUGAAACGGUACCAUAACUGAUCGUUGGAGAUAUAGAGAGGUGAAGAUGAAAAGUUUUAGAAUUUUUUUUGAUAAGCUAAAAUGGUAACGCUUCGGUUUAUCGGUGGAGAUAGAGUACUAUAAAAAUUCUAGAUACAUAUAAAAGAGAUUUAGCCCACUUAUAAGUUUUAUUGGGCCAGAAUGCGGAUUUUACUAAAUAGGUUUCGAUGAUCAAAGUUACACGUGAGUAUUGAAACAUUACAGUUAUGUGUGGAAUCCACUAUAAGAAAUCUUUCAUAAAUAUAUAUUAGUUUCGGUAAUCAAUAUACAAAGUAUCCUUUAGUUCAGUGGUAUAAAUGUUGGUGUUUAUAUCACAGUAACCCGGGUUCGAGCCACAUAUUUGACAUUUUUUCACAUUUUUUAAAAGUGGAGCCUACUUACCUGCUGACGUGUCGCAUCAGGAGUGAUGAAACUGACUCAUUAUAAUGUAGAAUAUUAGUUUCGGUAAUCAAUGUACAAAGUAUCAUUUAAUUCAGUGGUAUAAAUGUUGGUGUUUAUAUCACAGUAACCCGGGUUCGAGCCACAGAUUUGAUAUUUUUUCACACUUUUUAAAAGUGGAGCCCACUUACCUGUUGACGUAUCGCAUCAGGAGUGAUGAAACUGGCUCAUUAUAAGGUAGAUUAUUCUGUCGAAUAGCAUACGAUAAUGUAACUGGAGAUUUUCAGUUUAUUUAUUUAAUAAAAUUAUAUUUUUGUGUUUACAUACUGUUCAACUUUAAAGUAUAUAUGUUUGAUGUUGUAACUUUUAGUUCUUUAGAAAGUCAUAUUUCUUUUAUUUUCGUAUGCUCGGACCACAAGUAAUUUAAUUUGAAUUUAGAGUUAUAGUAAAACUAAUAAUGGACUUAGAACAUUAUUAUCCCUAAACUCUUUAAAGGGUCUCUUAAUUAAUUUUUAAUAGUUUUUAAAGUGUAAAAGUGAGUUAAGAGACUUAGAAAACAUUUGAACAUUUAAAUGGUUUAUUGCAAGUCUCUUAAUUAUGAACAUUUAGGUGAUUUAUUUCACUCUGUUCAUUGAAAUCUUGAAGCUGUUUAAAAAAAAAAAAGAGUCACGGAUUAGAAGAGAUGUAAUGUUGAUUUUCUAGGCGUGAAUAUGUGAAACUAGUGCAGGAUUCAUGGUCGGUGGAGUCUAAAAGCAAGUUAAAGGAACGUCUAAAAGUUGAAAAAAUCAAGUUUAAUUUGAAAACCAUCUCUCUCUCCAUUUCACACGUGGGCGGUGUGGGCCAAUCCAACCAACAACCAUAUUCAGACCACACAAAAUGGCGAAAUAAUAUCAGUAGUUUUGAAAACAGGGGAAAGAGAUGAGCCAAAAUUAAUACAGUAUCCCCCCACAAAGGAAGUAAUCCCUCUGAUUUUUUAAAGAUGGAUGUUCUAGAGAAAUAUUUUGUUUCCAAAAGAUGUAUUUUUCAUGUUUUCAAAACAUAUUUAGUCAACUAAUAAUAAAAAAUUGUGUGUUUAAAAAAUAUUAAUUACAUUUCUUUUAAUUCUAUUGGUUUAAAAAUAUAAAAAAUAUUAAGUUACAAAAAAUUAUGCAUUAAUAACUAAGUUUUAAUAUGGUUUCUUAAUAAGUGUGAAAAUCCUAUAACAUUCGUGUUUAAAAACAGAGGGAGUAUAUAAUAAUAACAUUGGUCCGUCCUUUUUCUCGAAAGAAUUAUUAAUAAACGCAGAGGUAGACAGACACACACACAAACAAAUCUAAGAAAAAUGGCAAACAGUGGUGAAGGUAAAGUGGUGUGUGUAACAGGAGCAUCUGGUUACAUCGCUUCUUGGCUCGUCAAGUCCCUCCUUAGCCGUGGCUACACCGUUAAGGCAUCCGUCCGUGACCCCAGUAAGUACCCUCCUCUCUCGCAGAUUCCUCUAGGGCUCAGAGAUUUUGAUCCAAGUCUAUGAGAAUGAAAGUUUAGAUUUUGAUUGGUACAACUUUUAACUGUGAGCUUGGAUUCUCGUUUUGUAAUUGUGUGGAUAAUUCUCACUUGUUUGGUGUGUUUCUCAAAGUUACAUCUCAAAGAUUGAUGCUUGUUACAUAUCAAAGUUUUGUCCUUUAUUGUAAUUUCGUUGUUGAUUCUUACAUGAUCCAUCCUUUUAGGUGAUCCGAAAAAAACACAACACUUGCUUUCCUUGGAUGGUGCAAAGGAAAGACUUCACUUGUUCAAAGCAGACCUUUUGGAAGAAGGAUCUUUCGACUCAGCGAUUGAUGGAUGUGAAGGAGUUUUCCACACUGCUUCCCCGUUUUAUCAUGAUGUCAAAGACCCACAGGUUUUGUUAUUUAUCCCCUCAAACACUUGCUGUGGAUUGUGAUGAUGAUCUUAAUAACUUGUUAUCCCCUUUUUUUUUAGGCUGAACUUAUUGAUCCUGCUGUUAAGGGAACACUUAACGUUUUGAAUUCGUGCACCAAAGCAUCUUCUGUCAAAAGGGUUGUUGUUACCUCCUCCAUGGCAGCCGUUGCUUACAAUGGUAAACCACUCACACCUGAUGUAACCGUCGACGAGACUUGGUUCUCUGAUCCAGAGGUUUGCAAGACUUCAAAGGUGUGUUUUAGUUUUGAAGAAUGCAACCUUUGUGAUCUUGUUAUCUCCUAUAGACUUAGUCUCUUUCAUUGUGCUAUAUAAAUGCUAGCUCUUGAUUCUUGGAACAAAAGAGUAACCUAAUCAUCCAACUUGUCUGCAAUGGAUUCAGAUGUGGUAUGUUCUCUCCAAGACCUUGGCGGAAGAUGCUGCUUGGAAGUUCGCUAAAGAGAAAGGCUUGGACAUUGUUACGAUCAACCCAGCAAUGGUGAUUGGCCCUCUUCUACAGCCAACUCUCAACACAAGUGCUGCUGCUAUACUAAACUUUAUUAAUGGUAAGAGAAAUGUUAAAACCAUUUUUUGCAAAUGUUAGAGAUCUAUCUCAUUUGUGUUUAUUUAAUUCGCAUACGCAGGUGCAAAGACAUUCUCUAACUCAACUUUUGGAUGGGUUAACGUAAAGGACGUAGCCAAUGCGCACAUCCAAGCAUAUGAGGUCCCUUCAGCUAAUGGACGUUAUUGUAUGGUCGAGAGAGUCCUUCACCACUCUGAGAUUGUGAACAUUCUGCGUCAGCUUUACCCAAAUCUCCAACUCCCUGAAAGGUAAAACAUCUUUAAAUAUAACCACUGAUCUGGUUCAUGUUCUGUUUCUAAAGAUGUUGUUUCAUAUGCAGUUGUGCCGAUGAGAAUCCGUUUGUUCCGACGUAUGAAGUGUCCAAGGAGAAAAUAAAGAGCCUUGGCAUAGACUAUAUACCCUUCGAAGUUAGCAUCAAGGAGACCGUCGAGUCCUUGAAGGAGAAAGGUUUCAUUAACGUCCGAGCAAGCAUUUGAGCCUACCGGCUUCAAACAAAUAAGGAAAAAAAAUAUUUGGAACAUGUCAUUUCAUGGAGAGAUUAGUAUGUUGUCGUCGUACUUUGUUGUUGCCUUGUUGGUUCCAUCAAAACUUAAAAUGAAUUAAGCAAUAAUUAUUGUGAUCUUCUGACACUUCUAUCAGUUUAUGACAAGAGCUUUCAUCAUCAUGGUUUUCAUUAUGAUCGUAUUAUCAUGAUAAACUUUGAAACUUUCAGAUACUUUCAAAUGUCAAAGAAGACAUGCUCUCGAUAGACAGACAAUAUUAAAAACAAUAGUACUUUUGGAGUAACUAAAGUAUCCAAUCCAGACAAUGUUGAAAACAAUAGAAAAACAAUAAGUCAGAAAAUCUAAGAUAACAUAUUCAUAUCGUACAUAGCUGUCUAUUCAAGUAAACUAAAGCAUUUGAAAACCCUGAAUCUACAAAUUAUUGUGGAAACCAAAGAAAAAAAAAACGACAACUUUUUUUGCAAAGAAUACUGCUUUCUCUUUUUUUACUUUCUUUAAAGAGAUACAGAAACAUAACCUUUACUGCUUUUAAAAAGACCAUGACUUUCUCAGUUCUCGCCUUCUAACUGCAAUGAACCGUCUCUCAUCAACUUGAGACUCAAACUGUUGAAUCUUUCCCUGGAAUACUGUCUCGAUGCUUUCCUCCAGUCUGUCCCAGCUUUCAUCAUCGCUGCAAACUCUUCAUAGCUUAUUCGUCCAUCCUAAUCACCAAGAAGCAAAACAAAAAAAAAAAAAGAUCAAGAGAAGACUUGUAAACUCCUACUAACCACCAAACUAGUAGCUUCACCAUAAAAGAACCAUUCAAGACUUUGGAGUUACCUUGUCGGUGUCAACAUCUUGCAUGAUGGCUGCAAUAACUUCCUCACUGCUAGUAUCCUCCUCAUCAUUUAAAGCCUGCCGCAGCUCCUCAAUCUCUAUGUAAUCGCUCUGGUUCUGGUCGAAAAAGCUAAAAGCCUUGUGCAAAUGCUCGUCGUUCGCCAUCUUCUUAAGAUGCACAGAGACAGCCACAAACUCUCCAUAAUUUAAAGUCCCGUCCCCAUCUACAUCAGCCUGCACACCAAAAUAUAUGUUGCUUGGUGAAGGCAAUAAUACAUAGAAGAAACAAAAACUGAAGUAUUUUCUUACAGCUUCCAUCAAAAUCUGUAGAUCAGCAUCAGCCAUCUGCUGCUGUCCGAGUUUAUGAAGUCCAUGUUUAAGCUGCUCGAGGUUUAUCUUCCCCGUUUUGUUACUGUCCAUCAUCUCAAACGCUUCCUUUAUUCCAGCUACUUCCUCUACUGAUAAAUGUUCGGCUAUCACCUGAAAAGAAGUGAAAAGAAGUUUCAGUCUUCAAAAUAAACAGAACUAAGGACACCAAGCUGAACGGAGUCACUACCCGUAGAGCUCGUUUCUUGAGCUUAUUCAUAACAGAAAACUGUUUGAGCCUUGCUUUCACAGUCUCCCCGAGGGAAACAUUUGGAGCCUUCUUUGCAUUUUGUAUCCAAGGAUGUUCUGCAAAUAGAAGUCCAUAAGCAAUAGAUUUUGGAAGCGCAGAGGUAAAUAGCAAACACAUACCGAGUACUUCUGCAGCAGAAAGGCGUUUUUUGGGGUCAGGUUCGAGCAUCUUUCUCACAAGGUCUUUGGCAGUGUCAGAGACUCUUGGCCAUGGAUCCCUCUUGAAGUCAAUGACUGACCUAAUGAUCGCCUGAGCCACCCCUUGCUCAGUCUCUUUACAAAAUAAAUAAACAAAUAUCAAGAGAAGAAACUCAAAAAAAAAAUGAAAGAAGAAUCAGAAGAUAAGCAAAUAAAUCUUAAAAAAAAGAGGUCACUACUGUUGAAUCUAGUUGUUCUGCAGUAAAUCAUUCUAUUCAUCCAUUGAAACUAAGAUGGAUCAUAACAAACCUGCCCAAAAGGGAGGGACACCACAGAGGAGAAUAUAAAGGAUGACUCCAGCACUCCAGAUAUCAACCUCAGGUCCAUAGUUUCGCCUAAGCACUUCUGGUGCCAUGUAAUAAGGACUCCCAACAAUUUCAUUAAACCCCUCACCUGUUACAAAUUCAAAAAAACAAAAAAAAAUAAAGUAGAGGAAACAUAACCAAAAAUAUCUAUUGAAAUAUUAUAUAAUCUAUACCAGGUCUAAAGAAGACUGACAAUCCAAAAUCAAUAGCUUUAAGUGGCGACGUCUCUUUUUUAUUAGCAAAUAGAAAGUUCUCCGGCUUAAGAUCCCUAUGCAUCACUCCAUUCUUAUGACAUACCUGCAAUUCCAAAAAGGUAGAAAGUUAUAAUCAUCAUCACAAGCGUUACACUAUAAGAGGAGACUUACGCCACUACGAACCUGAACAACUUCAAGAAUAGUCUUCAUAACAGCAGCAGCAGCACGUUCAGUAUAAUGACCUCUCGCAACAAUCCGAUCAAACAGCUCACCACCUUCACACAACUCCAUCACUAUAUGCACCGCGUCAUCAUCCUCAAAGGCAUCCUUAAGCGAGACUAUAUUAGGAUGCUUAGGCAUAUGCUUCAUUAUCUCAACCUCUCUCCUAACAUCCUCUAUAUCCACAGCCGUUCUAAGCUUCUUCUUGGAUAUAGACUUGCACGCAUACUUCUCGCCGGUGUUGAUAUCAGUGCAGAGGUAGGUGAUACCGAACUCUCCACGACCAACCUCGCGGCCAAGAUCGUACAUGAGGGUUAUGUCAUGUCCUGUUGGAUCUUUUAAAACGGAGAGCUUGAAGCCGGUUGUUGUAGUGUAGGCUUCGCUGUAAAAAGGGUUGUUUUUGGUCUUUGGUUUGGCGUCUUUGGACUUGGUGUCGGAACCAGGGGUUGCACAACAGUUUCCCAUAUCUGAGAUUUCAUCAACAAGCAAUCAAGAAAUCUUGAAACUUUAUCUAAGAAAAAGUUUCCAAAUUUAGAAAGGAGGGGGGACUCUCUCUAACUAAUCCCAGAUCUGAUGAAGGGAAACAGACAAAACAAAAAAUGAAUGUGUAAUCUACCAAAUGAAAUUAACAUAUAGAAUCUGAAGAGAAGACAAGAAAGCCCUAUGCUUUGAAUAAACACAGACCUGAGAGCUGAAGCGGCGAGAGAAUGAAAAAGGGGAUGGUGAAUCGGCGGAUGCAACAGGGGGGAAUGAGAAGUGGCAGGGAGAAAGGAGGAGAAGAAGGAGAAGAGUCAAAGUCUCCCUCUUUCUCGCUAAGUGAGCAGCAAAAGGGACUCUCUUUAGUUUUUUUUUUCUCUCUUCUCUCUCUCUCUCUAUUGAGGAGGAAUCAGCGGAUAACCCAUUGCUCUCUCUCUAGUCUCACACGGUGAGCCUUGUGUUUUCUCUUUUUUUUAUUGUUUCUCUGCCCUCCUCACUAAUCCCCUUCUUAAAAUAUAUAAUUAAUGAUGAAAGACUUUUGGAUAGCAUUCACAUACAGUACGUACGUUACCGUAUGCGUGUUAUAGCCACAUAGUAUUAUUCACUUUAUUACAAACUAAUUAAGUGUUAAUUUUAGAUGACUUACAAUAAUCGACAUCAGACUUUCUGUUGGUAAACUAAUCACUGUUAUUUUUAUGUGUUUAAAAUCUAUAUUAUAAUAGAAGCGCGCCACGUCAUCGUUUUGUGGACUCCAUUUUUAAAAUGUGUAAAAAAAUGUCAAGUUCAUGGCUCAAAUCCGGUUUAUUGAGAUAUAAACACUAACAUUUAUACCACUAAACUAAUUGAUACAUUUGUACAUUGAUAGUCGAACCUAAUAUAUAUUUAUGAAGGUCGGAAGCUCUUGCUUCUUCGGCUUCCUCUGAGGGUCGGACCUACAAGUGUGUUAUGGGUUUCAUUUUUAAAUGGGAUUCAUCACGUUAUAUGAAAAAAUGCUUAAGUUUGCAACAAUUAUGGUUUUUCUAUAUUGUAAACUGUUGUAGUUUAAUAUGGGUUCUUUUCAUCAUUGUCUCAAACAAGUCUGAGUUACAGAGUUGCGCCGUGUGUAUGUUCGUAAUCUAUUUUUUCACCGGUAAACUCUUCAUGUCCCCAUCUUAAAUCGCUUGAUCAUAAAUGUUCCUGAUUUGUAGCCCCUCUAUAAACCAUAUAGAUAUGAUUCUCAUCUUUGAUGAACCCAAUCUGCAUCUCCACAAAACUCUUUGAUUCCUCUUAGCUUUAAUCAUCUUCUAGAAAAUGUUUCUCUCUACCUCUCCAGUUCGUCAAACCGGCGUCCCGGCGUCCGUCACUCAACCUUCGAGUCUCUCCGUCUUGGUCUUAGUAGUCAGAGCAUAGCCUCUGGCUUCCUCCGCUUCUGGGAUUCCCUGAACUUCAAGAAAGACAGGGAGUUUGUGGGAAUCACGGUUCUUUUCCUCGAUGAAAAGGUAAGUUAAUCUUCGAUCUAUCACACUUAUUUAACAUAAUUGUUUUAAUUUAUUUCCUAAUUCUUUGUUGGAUAAUACUAUUUGCAGAUUCCGUGAUUCAUGGGUUUACUCCCGUCGGACGUGCUAAUCAUUACAUGCUAUCUUUGAAAGCAGAUUCCAUUGUGAAAGUCGAUCGUUUUGAGGUUGCUAGGUGCUCCAAGUGAUUGCGAACACAAACCUAGAAAUUGGUAAACAUAGCAUAUUUGGCAGCUCCAAGCAAGAUUACAAUCAGGCAAAUUCAAGUGGAAUGACAUACCAACAACUGAAACUGGUAAUUAGUCAACAACUUAUCCCAUAUUUUCCUUAUCUGAAAAAAUCUACUGUGUUUCUGAUCUAUUUUUUCAUCUACGCAACUUUAGCCUCUGUCAUAGAUAGCUCUCUCCCAAGAAUUGCAUUGACUAUGGUUUCCGGGAAGAAAAAGAUCUUGCUCCUGAAAAAAGACCGUGACAACCCUGUUGUAAGAUUUUAGUUUGUGCAGAACAAAAAACCUUGAUUUAUUUUCUAUUUAGUAUAGUGAUAGUUGUUGACAAUCAUUAGUUAUUUGCCAAUAUGUUUUUUAUGCGGCAUUUCAGAACUCUCCAUUCCAAGCGGAACAGCAGACGGAAGCUAAUUUUUCUGGAAGCUCCUCGACUUCAAGACAGAAUCAGAAGAUAGAUGUUAGUGGGAGGUUAAUCAAGGGAAUACUUCAGAGAAGUGAGACGGUCUAGCCAGACUUCAUCUUUUGUACAGCCUGAGCAAAGAGUGGAACCCACAAAACACGAGAGAAGAAAAAACAAAACACGAAAUUAACAUAUUCAGAUCUUCUCUCUUGCAUGUCUAACAUCUGGUGCCGACGAAACUCAACACCCACGGCAGACGAAGCUGAUGCAAGUAAACCUCUCAUCAAUCAUGCUUAAAAUCAAUCUACGCUUUUCAAUCUCACAAACUAAGAAAAAAUUUUACCUACAUGAAUCGGAAAAUUAGUGCCCACAUUCCCGACAUAGAGAAAAAAAAGAGUUGAAGUCCUAACAGUUUUUUCAGUAUUAGACUAAACCACAGAUUCAAGGCCCAAUUAUUUUGAAACUCUAACAUUUUAAAUCCAAAUUUAUUAUCUUUUUACAUGCACUAUUUGAUUUAUAUACAAACAACUACCUAAGUAAACACUAACAAGUUUCAUCACCCUCAAUUUUGAACAUAUAAGAUAUAAAAAUAUCAACAUAUGAUUCCGUCGUUCAUUCUUAUAUCAAACUCAUCAACCUAUGUAAUAUCCAAAGUCUCAUCAAUCACAUUAUAGACAAAAAAAACAAUAAAAUCCCGUAAACAAAGCUAUACAAUACACCCAUAAUGUAGCCGACUCCGCGCUUGCGCGGGGACUAUGCACCUAGUCAAUCAUAAAAGUUGGUUUGUCAACGAUUGUGUAUAGUCCAUCUUAUAAAUUAUAUAAAAUUGUAUUAUAAUACUAGUUAGCUAUAACAAUAAUAAGUAUAAUCGGUCAAUCAUAUGUUACACGUUUCUCAAAUUCUUAUGGAAGAAAUAAAUAUUUGUGAUGAAUUCGUCACUUGUUAAAACAAGUUUCAUAUUUUGAAAAAUAAAUAAGAAAUAAGAUAAAUCGUUGAACAACCAAAUAGAAAAAAUAUUUUAUUGUUGGUUGGAAGUGAGUUGCCUUUCUAUGCUUUUUUGUCAACGGAGGUGAGUUGCCUAAUUUGAUAGAAAUCGACUUAUCAGAAAGCAAGACGUGGAAUCAGUGCAGACCAACCGGGAUCCUCUCUGGUGUACACUCCCAUGUCUCAAUCAAGUCAGAUCAGACUAGUAGUGUAAAAGCCACAACGAUUCUCCAACUUUCACGAGUGGUAACUAAAUAUUCUACUAUCAAACAUCCUAAAGUAAAGUAAGCUUCUUUUUUUUAGCUCAGCUCCGUUACGGACCCAUUCUUGUGGCCGGCCCAUAAGUGAACAAUACCAACCAGUGAGUCUGUCUGGAAAACAUACCUUUCUGUCUGUCUGUCUCCUCCACUGAAAAUGGCUUGUGGGUUUUGCUCGCUGCGUCCCACUCUCACUUCCUUAUUCUCGUCCCACGCUCUUGCGCUUGCGCCCACUCCACACUGGCGUUCGAGCUCCCUGCGUAUCUCCCGCGCUUUAUCAGCUACAACUCUUCUAAUUACCUCCUCCUCCUCCUCCUCCUUCUUCACGUGGGAUGACGUCUUCGAGAUCGGUCGGAAAGAGUCUGCGUCUCCUCAAAACGGCUCCUCCGAUCUCACAGGGUUUCUCGAGAAAAUCGACCGCUGCAAUCGCGGAUCCGUAAGUCAACUGAAACUGCAUAAAAACGUUAGCUUUCAUCUUUUCUUCGAAUAAAGUUGGAAACUUUAUUGCCACACUUUCCAGGAGAAGUUAGUUGAGUUCAUACCCUUUGUCAUAGAGGAACAAAUCGUUGGUUAUAUCCAUAAAGGGUAAACCUUUACUCUCUUUUGCUUCAGUGAUUCUAAACUUUCGUUAUCUAAUUUGAUUGCUCUCAAGUGGUUUGCAUAUACAACAUUGAAAACAGAUUUACGGAGUACUUGAGGGAGUUUCAGGAUACAUUCACGUUUUCACAAAAUGGUUGCCUUGGUGGUGACUAUGUAACGCUUAGUGUGAUGUUCGAAAAACCUGAAGAUAGAACAAGAGCUGUUGCAGAUGUGAUCAGGAUCUUGGGUGACAAAGGUAUCAUUCCAGGAAUACGUAAUGAGGUAUAGAGGUCCAUGUUUGUUAUUUUUGAUCUUUUGAACUCUUGAAUGAUGCUUAUUGUUUUUUUUUAUUCACCAGCUGUAUCCUGUGAAACCAUCUUUUAAUGCCCCCGCCGUUUUUUCGCUAGAGCGUGCUGCUGCUCCUUAUUUUGGAUUAAAGGUAAAACCAAAUUGUUUCAGCUUGUGUGCCAUGUUCUUUUGCCUUGCUUGUGUUACGCUAGUGAUGUUAUGAACUCUGUUCUUUUCUGAUUGAAUCAUGCCUCUUCUUGUUAUCUGAUUCAGGGAUACGGAGUUCACAUGAAUGGGUAUGUAGAAAGAGAUGGACAGAAGUCUCUAUGGAUAGGAAAGAGAAGUCUCACAAAAUCUACUUAUCCAGGGAUGCUUGAUCAUCUUGUUGCUGGAGGAUUGGUAAGCUUUUUCUCUUCAUCUUAUACUCUUGUUCAUGGCUUGUUAGAAAGUAUGUACUAGUGAUUAUAAAUUCUGAUUUUGAGGGAACCAAACCGUAUAGCCUCACGGGAUUAGCUGCGGUGACAAUCUAGUCAAGGAAUGUGAAGAGGAAGCUGGUAUAUCCAAAGUCAUUGCUGAUAGGUUUAAGACAUCCUCCUCCUCAAGUCUUUUAGCAAUAUCAUGUGUAUAGUAGCUCUACCUGUUGUUUUCUUUAUUAAAGGGCGAUAGCGGUUGGUGCUGUUUCAUACAUGGAUAUAGAUCAGUACUGUUUCAAACGUGAUGUGCUGUUUUGUUAUGAUUUGAAACUCCCUGAAGAUUUUGUUCCAAUAAAUCAAGGUAAGGGCUAAUCACUAGUAACUAGUAAGGCGUACAUCCUGAAUUGCGUUUCAGAGAGAAGUGCUUUUCUCAUAGCAUUGUUGUUGAAAAUUACAUUGCAGAUGGAGAAGUGGAGAGCUUCAAGUUGAUUCCAGUAGCACAAGUUGCCAAUGUGAUUAGGGAGACUAGUUUUUUCAAGGCGAACUGUUCCCUUGUCAUUAUUGACUUCUUGUUUCGCCACGGGUGCUAACUCCUAUCUCCCCACAAAUUACUUAUGUUUACUUCAAAUCUGAUCUCUGACGCCAGAUCAUUAUAUGAGGAUUUGGAUAAGGGAUAUGUAUAAAUGAAAAAGGCUGUACAUGUUCAGGACUUUGCAUAGUAUAUUCACAACACUGUUAAAUUCUAUCAUGCAGGUUUAUCAGACCAGAAUCAUCUGGUUACUUGGAUCUAUACAGAAGCUUGAGGAAUGGGGAUUGCUCAUAAGGAUGCUACUAUCUUUUUUUGCCUAUCUGAUGUUUGUAAGUAAAAAUCUCACUCUAUAGAUUACUAUUACAUACCCUGACUAUCUCAUAGGCUCAUUGAUUGAUUUAUCUUUCCGCAUUUUGUUUCUUGAGUCACUUCAGGUGCCUUCAUGAACUUACCACCAAUCCAAAAGUCCAACUAAAAUUCAUGUAUACUACAAAUGAGCAAAACCAACAGAGAUGGUCCAGAUGGUUAAAGUUACUUGCCCAAAGAGUCUAAAUGACAAUACUCCAUUUGAUUAACGAUGAUUGUUGCUUUUUAUAUAUAUUUUACCUCUGUAUUGUCUGCAUGACCUAACAGCCUUUUCCAGAACGAUACAAAGUUGGUAAUAAUAAUAAAAUUGGAGAAAAUGGCCCGCAUGUAACGGUACACCGUUGCUUGAGAUCCAAGUUUAGAAAUUUACCUAUAUCUGCUCAAAUAGGAUCGUGUAUCCCAAACAUUUAUAGACUAUAAAUCAAAAGUGGAGUUUUUUCAAUAGAAGUCGUCUUGAUCAUCAUCAUCAUCAUCAUGAACGCCUUCGUCAAUGUUUAAGAACCUCUUUCUUGUAGACCAAGCAAUAUCUAUUUAUGGAAAAGAGGGAGGCAUGUCACUCUCUGAUUAAUCAAUCAAUCUCAAUGUUCUUUCUUUUUCUAUCCAAAUCAUAUCAUUCAUUCUUGAGUUAGCAUGAUGUUUUCCCGAGAUGUUAAGGUUCCAUCAGUUGAUGCGCAUUUCUAGAAUCGGGAAACUUAACCGAUGCAAUCUCAACAAGUCCUUUUUACUUUUUAAUGUUUGUUUUUUUUUUUUUUUUUUUUUUUUUUUUUUUUUUUUUUUUUUUUUUUUUUUUUUUUUUUUUUUUUAUUUUUUUUUUUUUUUUUUUUUUUUUUUUGGUUCCUAAAGCAAACUAUAUGUUUACCUAACGAGGUUUAAAUAAAUGGGUAUGUGCAGAAUAAUACUGGAUGGAAUCCAGUUCCACAGUUCGGAGGGUGGGACCAAAAAGGAUCAGACGAAACAAACUACUCUGUUGUGUUCUCAAAAGCUCGAGCUAACAGGAAGCUGAACAAAGGUGGUGUCAGACAUUCUAGUUUGGGAAGCGAACAAGAACUCAUGGCUAGUGCUCGUCGUCAUCACUACCAUCAACAACAUCUUCACCAUCACCGUGAAACCCAAGACGAUGACCCUGUCAUGGUAACACCUCUCUCUCCUCAUCUCUCUACUAUACUUACCAUUCGAUGUGGAUUCUUUGGUUCGCAUAUAAUCACCCUGUGAUGGUCCUUUUCCCCUUAGCCAACCCGCAUGGAUCAUCAUAAAGUGUGGUAUAAACAAUUAUAUUAAAUAUUAUUUUUAUGUUAAAAUUAAAUAUUUUGAAUUACUUGUACAAUAAUAUGGAUUAUUUAUAAUCGAAUAUUUAUUUUUAGUCUAUCUAAAUCUUGCCUAAAAUAUAUAUAUUUCAAAUAUUUCUAAAAUAUAUUUAACCAUUUCAGUUACUAUUAAUUAUUUUCAACAAAAGAAUCUAUUUAUAUUAAUGUUUAUAAUUAAAUAUUAUUUUCUAAUGUACAAAAUUUUUGCCACAUGGCCUAUAUCUAAUCAAAACAUUUAAAAUAUUAUUACAUUUGUGAAACGAUUUCGUGUUAAAAAAUAUUACUCAAAUAUAUCAAUGAGUCAAUAUUUGUUAAAGAUUUAGUAUAUCGCACAAAUCAAUAUUUUUUUUGCAGCAUGUAAACUAUUUAAUUAUUGUGUUUAUAAACAUUUUAAAAUAUGAUAAAUGUUUAAAAUAUUAAAUAAUAAAUAUUUAAAUAAUAUUCAUGUAUAUAAAAUGAAAAUAAGUAUCCGCACGGACGUGCAGGUCAAGCUCUAGUAAUAGACUUAAAACACACAAUUGUGCUUGCUUGCAUGAUCGUAUUUUUUUAUUGUGUUGUACAAUUAUAAAAGUAACAAAAAUUCAAACAAAACAAGAGAACCGCAAUUUCACUAUAUAUAUACAUUUUGGUAGCUAGCAUGCUGUCUCCGUCUUAAUAUUGUAAAACCUAUAUAUGUAGAGUAUUAGUCGUCUCGCUAAUAUUGGUAAUUUAAUUGCCAUGCAGAAGAAGAAGAGGAUCUUGACCUACAUUAAUUGUUGUAUCAGGCCAAACUAGGGCCUUUGUUCCACUACUUUGCAAUCUUUUCUCUCAUGAGUUUGUAGCAAAAAAAAAAUGUCUCUCAAGUGUGUAAAGACGUUAGUGUGACGUUUCUGUAAAUGUAUGUGCACCACCUAUUAAGAUGCUCCCGCUUUGAGUAUACAUUUUGAGUUCUGCCUUCACGAUAUGAGAACAAAACAAUAUUAAUCAUAUUUCUAUAAAUAUUGUACUAUUAUAUAUGAACCAUGUUUAUAUAUUAUAUGUCAAGUUUGCAAGUAGAUUUCACAGUAGAUAUCUCUCCGUCUUGAAUAUUGUAAAAUGCAUCCUAAAACCAAAAUAGGAACAAGUUUUUAGCUCGUGAAUUUCAAAAUGAACGGCAUUCGAACACCUGUACUGGACGAUUUGUAUCAAGAGUUUUUUCAAAGAAAGUUUUUCAUACAUAUAUGAUAUAUUAAUAUCUUAGUGAGAAAUUUUAAAAAUUUGAGAGAUCCAUUCUUUCAAAUUUUCGAAAGACUUUUCUAUUAUAAUACUCUCUCCGUUUUAGAUAGAUUCAUAUUCUAAAAAAAAUAUUGUUUCAAAAAGAUACAUAUUUUACCUUUUCAAUGAAUUAUUUAAUGAAAAUUUGUAAGUUUCAAAAAAGUUAAUAAUGUUUAUUGGAUUUCUAUUGGUUAAAAGUUAUGGAAAAUUGUUAUUCACAAAACAUAAUGCAUUCAAAAACAAAUUUUAAUAUGUUUUUUUUAAUAUAUGUGAAAAAUCUAAAAUAUGUAUUUUUUUGAAAUGGAUGUAGUAUUAAUUAAUUAAUAUAUAUAGUGAGAAACUCAAGUUCCCAAUGAGGAUGUCUUCUUAAGGUUAAUUGAAAAGAUACAGUCAUUGUAAUAAAGUUAAUCAAAUGUACGUAAACCGCAAACAGAUCAACAACACAAGUAAAUUAAUUCGAAAUACAUGUAGGUUUCUCAAUGUAGAACCCACAUGCAUAUAGCUAGGUUAAUGUCGAUAAUUUGAGAAUAUGUAAUUGCUAGCUUUAAGGAAAAUCGGAUGGUUAUCAUGGUUCUAGAAAAAUCCAGUAAAUUAAAGCGGAUAUAGAUUAUUGGAGAGUAUCCGGAGGACUUUAGCUUGUGAACAAGAUCUCGAACUCCUAUAUAACAGAUACCAACAAUCCAGCACUACCAAAAAAACAAGUUUUAGCCACAUAUAAGUUUAUAACUCCUCUGUGACAAAAAAAAAACUUUAAAAUUGGUAAUAACUGGAUAAAUGCAGGGUCUAAAGAGUCUUGACCAAACAAAAUAUGUAGCUGAAAAUUAGCUAAAUGGUCAUAUACAUUCUGUCACUAAAAGAUUCACAGCUAUUUGGCCCCUGCUUAAUUAUGGAUUGGAUAGUGCCAGAGUGGAUAGAAUUGACCGUGGGAAAAACUGGCAGAUCGGUUUAUAACCGUCUAAAACCUGUACUGUAUUCUUAGUUGUUUCGGUUAAAAAUUAAAAUACAGUUUCUUAUAUUCUGUUUAGAACCUCAGCAUAAAAACCCUUCCAUUAAUUAUGCUAAAAACCUCUAAAAGCGAGAAUUUCGGUUUACUUCGGUUUCUUACGGAGUAGUACAUUUAACAUUUUACUACAUUAUGUGAUGUGAAUCUGAAACAUAAUAAAGGAAUAUUGAACGCAUCAUCGUGAGGCGCGUGAGGACCACGCGGAGUCCUUCAAAAUAGCAAAGACAAAUUACAUCAGAAGCAUCUUUGGGGGCAAAAGAGAAAGAAAGAAGAAGAGAUCGCGAUUGUAUAAGCUCCUCCAUUGUCGACGAAAAAGCUACCCUUCGCAAACCCUAAAAACACUUGCUUCUCCAAUCAAAAUCACGCGGGAAAAUCCAAGUCCAAUAGCUUAUCCUACCCGGGUUCCAUAGUCUAGCUGAUUAGGGGUUUUCUAUACCUGGGCUCUAGUGGGAGGUUGCGAUUCGUGAGAUCUAUCUGCCUUGUGAAACGUGUAAGGCAUGCGGCUCAUCUUUUCUUUCUCUCUUGAGCUGUGAUUUCAUGUUAAGCUUUGUCCUUUGUUUUGUUAUCAGAUUCCAAUUCUCAACCCUCAUGAGCUUCUGUUUUAGGGAUUACUUUGGUUUAAGAUUCUUCUUGUUACAAAUCACAGCUGGAUGAAAUCAAGAUAGCUAAAUUGUUAUGAAUAAUUUAUUUUUCUAGGAAAUUAGAGACACCUUUAAGCAGAUAAUACUUGCUAAGUGCUUAUUAUAUUCGAACAUUCUCACUUGCCUAUGUGUUCAGAUUAUCAUUAUCCCCCAACUUAUAUGUUCAUACCCUAUGCAAUUUGCUGGUCCAGGCUGUGUAUAAUUUGAAUCUAAAUAUGUUUGCUUUGAACUGCAGUUGAUCAUGGUAUAGCUGUUAUUUGUGCAAAUCAAGAUAUGGAAUCAGAGAGCGCCAAGUUUGGAGGUACCUUUGCGGUUUAUCCUCUUCUCCCCUCAUUACAACAAUGUUUCUAGUUAUUUUCAGCAGACUUGUCGUAAUUUUAUUGGUUAGUGAGAUGAUGGGUUUUUUAUGUGCAGGUCCAAGAGAAUUGGGUGGUGCACGUGAUCUUAUAACUCAGUACAAGCUGUUGCCACACCAUGAAUUCUUUUGCAAGAGAUCACUUCCUGAGUCGCUUUCAGAUGCUCAUUACCUUCACAAUGUGGUGGGCGACACAGAUAUUAGAAAGGGAGAAGGAAUGCAGCUGGAUCAGCUUAUUCCAAAUGCGUCUCAUAACCGAGAUACAAAUGCUCGCAUCCAACCUUUUGUUCUAGAUGAACUUAAAGAGGCUUUUGAGCUUAAUGAUACAUCUCCUGUUGAAUUGCCUCCUGUGAGAAUCUACUUUCCUUCCAUCUGGAUUUAACUUUUCUAUCUUUCACAUGAGUGCUGGUAUCUGAUUCGGAUAAUAUUGAGGACUGAAUUUGAAAAUAAGACGCUCUGAGGCUUGUCUAAUCUUUACUAACCAUGAUAAGUUGAAUUACUUACAAAUAUCUUGUGAUGGUAAUUGAGUUACUCAUGUUUCUUGUUACAGGCAGAGAAGGGUGCUCUUACCAUUGCGUCAAAAUCAAAAAGCGAGUCAAAAGAUAGGGACAGGAAGCAUAAAAAACACAAGGAUAGGAAUAAGGAUAAAGAUAGGGAACAUAAGAAGCACAAACACAAGCAUAAAGAUAGGAGCAAAGAUAAGGAUAAAGACAAGGAUCGCGAGAGAAAGAAGGAAAAAAGUGGACACCAUGAUAAGGUAAGAGAACUUUCUGCUCUUGUUGGUUUCUAUCUCUCUUAUCUUUACAUUUGAUUUCUCAAAUUCUAUACAAUUUCACGUUCAGAAAAGGAAGCACAAUGGGAAUGAAGAUCUUGAUGACGCUCAGCGGCACAAAAAGAGCAAGGUAAUGGCUUAUGUAGGCAUCUCCUCUCUUGUUAGGAAAGCCGAAGUAGGGUUGUAGUUCAGUAACAAGUUUUAUUUUGGUAGUCUUUAUAAUCAACUCUUCUUUCUGUAGCAUAAGAGUUCCAAGGUUGAUGAGCGAUAGAGGUUGGGGGUUGGAGGUUGAAGCGGUGGAGAGACUUAAGUUUUUGUAUUACACAUCCAAGUAGGUGGAGGUUUAGAAACAGCUACCGUACUCACUUUUGAAUACUUUGUUAGGCCAGUGUCCAUGUGUUCUCUUCUGUUCAUGUCAGUCCCGUCACUAGAUAACGAUGUCUUUAGUGACUGAUGGACUGAAUGCUGCUAAUCUGACAUUGGAACUCGAUUUUUUUAAUUUGUCAGAUAUUGAAAACAUCAAUGAUCAUAUAUUUCCUGCUCCGUUAAAACUCGAUUAUAAUAAACUGGCAAGACUUCAUCGGGUUUGAGUUUAUGUAAAGCGUUGAUAUCAAAUGGAAUAGCAGCAAAAGAUCAAAAUCCUAUCAGCAAAACUUUAGCAAUGAAAAAUUCUCAAACUAUUAAAUCUCAACAAAGCUUAGGUGAGGGACAUCUCACUCUUCUCCCCACCGCUUUGUUCAUUUUCUGGCGAAAGUCUCACCCUUGUGCUCACCCCCCGAUAAAUACUACAUACCCUGCUUCCACCAAUAAACAAAUUUUGAUGUUUUUAUUGCGGAAUCCAUAAAAUCACCGUGUACUUGUUCUGUAUUACAAAAAGUGAAGGGAGCAAGAGUAGCGUACCUGGCAGUCUCUUAGAGAAACACGCUCUUGAAGCUGCGCAUUGCUACAAAUGACUGAGCCUUGUAUUGAACAACCGUCUCCUAUUGUGGCAUGGUCCAUCACAACUGAGUUAACCACCUGCACCCACACACAUACAAGCAGUUGAGUGUAACUUCGUUGGAGAUGUACACCAACUUUAUUUGGCUGGGGUGAAUAAAAGCUCUUUCCUUACCUUUACAUUGGAGCCUAUGCGGCAAUGUCUCCCAAUUACAGAUCUUUUGACACUGCAUUUAUCACCGACUUGAGAGCCUUCUCCAAGCAUACAAUGAGGUCCAACCUGCAACCCAAAAAAUGUUAAUUGACGAUCACAACUCACAAUAUAAAUGUACAGAAUCCAGGACUUACAGUGGUUUUCGAUCCAAGCUCAGCUGAUGGGUGGACAAUGUUGUGAUGAGCAGAAAAGGAGUAUCCAGAUAGGUGGUUUGCGUCACCAAUAACCUGCACAUGUUUGAAAAUUGUAGAGCUCUAUAGAUGUCAACCGAGAAAAAAAAUACUAUAGUAGGAAUCUAUGUUGGAACACAUUGAUGAGAAAACAACUUACAUCUCUAUUUACGUCCAUGAAGGCUUGAAUGCUAUUUAAGCGGACGCAAUACUUACUUUCAUCCGCUAUAUAAACACAGCAUUUGUGGGUUUUUCGGAUAUCCAGGCCUGAUUCAUAAACUUGAUGAAAGGUUGGCCAAGAUGCGUUCGAGAGAAUUUGGGACGAAACCACAUCGUUGUUCUGCAUAUUAUUCUUUCCAUGUCCAUUUCCAUUUUUAUCUACAGCUUUUUCGUCAGAGAAGACAUCUGAUUUCUGACACACAAGGAGAGAAACCACAAACAAAAUAUCAAAAUGGUGAUAGAAUGAUUAGUAUAAUCUUUGUUAAUCUCAUCUGCAAGGACCUUAUCCAACUAACCAGCUGCGUACGAACAAGAUAUGGGAGUACAUCCUGUUUUAGGCAUCGAAAAGUAGGCUUCUGUUCCAAAACUUCCUGCAGGACUGAUCUGUAAGACAAGAGAGCAUAUUGAGUGUCUACGGAUAAAACUAAAUUGUUAGCAGGAACGAAGAUCUGACCAACCUCUUGAAGGCGUAUAUAUGAGAAUCCAUGAGAUCUGAUCGAAAUUCCAUCUAUAUUCAAAAAUGACAAGAAACUGUACCAACGUCUUAUUAAUACAUGAAUCACCAUACACUCAAAAAACAAACUGCAUUGUAGGCCAUUAAGAGCAUUACCUUUCCAGCCGCACAGAGAAUGCUCUUUUUUAAUCGGGUAUCUCUCUUAACCUCCACCCCUAUCACAAUUCAGAAACAGGUUCAAGCAUUUUGUUGCCUUUAAGAAACAAAAAGGAGAAUUCAGAGUAGGACCUGUGGCUAUGUAUAACAAGAACUGUUUCGAGGAAUCAAGCCCUAUGAUAUCAUAGCAAGCAGGUUUCUUGGCUUUGUCUUUCCCAGCGCCCCCAGAUUCUGAUGAUUCAGCACAAAGCAUAGCAGUUACUGCUGCAUUAUGUCUUCUAUGAGUUGCGGCAACAGCACCGGGAGAUAUAUCAGAAACAAUGUCUCCACUUACAAUCUGCGUCCAGUAAGACUACCAGUUAAGUAGAAGCUCACAAAGCAAACAAGCUAAGAGACAGCUCGAGGGUAGCUAACCAAAAUGUCUUUGGCAGUUAAGUGGUGUGCAAUUGCCCUGAGAGCUCCGGCAGCAACCUAAAGUAAGAUAUCCACCAGAGCACAGAGUGAGAAGAGCUGUUAACCAAUGGAGACACUAUGGCUCUAAUCAAACUUAAAAUUCAGAUGGUUGCUAGUGUUACUGUACUUACAUCUACCUAAAAGUUGGUAGUUCUAAGAACAACUUAACCUCCCAGUAUACAACAGCGUCAAGCUAAAAAGCAGUAGUCCAUAGCUAUCACUUCUUUGAUUAUUCUAUGUGAAGCACUAGUGUUGAAAUGCAUUGAUCCUAUACGAAGCAAUAAGCUCCAUUUCUAAUGAAGUAUAAUAUUCCGAAAAGAAUACCUCAACAUGUAAACGAUCAACACAGGCAGAAGAUAUCCAUAUCCACCAACUGUCAGAGCGGCGUCUUCUCCUUCAACAACCUGUUUCCAGAAAUGUGAAUCGAAAAUCUUAAGUUCUCUCCAAAAUCGAUUAAAAACGUUCAAUCUAGCAUAAGAUAACAACAAAUUUGUGAAAGAUAUAAGGCGUACGACGAUGAGGUCCUUGAGAUUACUACUCUCUAGAAGAUCGAGAACGUAAGAUGAUAACACCGGACGGUUUGCUACGGGGACCAGCGCCUUAGGGACUUCCUGUACAGCAGAGAAGGAAAAUUAGCUAUAGCGAAAGAUUGUUUUUUCAGAUGAAUGAGACUAAGGGGACGAGAUUACUGGAGAAUCCGCCGGCGAGAAUGACAACCUGGAAAUCCAUCUCUGAAUUUGACGGUGAGAGGAAGAGAGGUUUCGCUUGAGGUUUUGUUGGUUUUGAGAACGGCUAGUAGACGACGAUAUCAACCCGCUCAGAGUAUUUCCCUUGUAAGUUUUUGGUUAAUUAAAAUAUAAAAUCAUUUUCUAACCGCAAAUUAAGAUCUUUAACUUUAUGAAAUUCAUUAAAUGAGUUUCUUCAUUUGCAAAUGAUCUGAAGAAGCAAGAAAGGGGGAGGUUCACACUUACAAAUGAACAGAGUUUAUUGUUUUGGCACCUCCGAACCUGGGCUGGGAAUACUAACCUAAUUUUCAGUAUUUGUUUGUUUCGUAUUUGACAUAUAUUUAAUUUUUCAAUUUGUUUUGAUUCUGAAAACUACAGAUAUUCGGAAUCCAAAUUUUUUUGUAAAUGUUUGUAAAUAUUUACGGAUAUUUACAGAUAUCUCAUCCAAUUUGUUUAAUACAAGCAAAAUCUUUAAAAAGACUACACGAGAUUUUGUUUUUCAAAAAAAUCUUUUAUAUAAUAUAAAAUAAAAAAGUAAAGAUUAGUGAAACUAUAUGCUCCAUAAUUUUUUUAAAAAAAAUUAAUUUUAUUAAUAAAACUGAAAUUUAGAAAAUUGUUAUUUUAUAAAUAUUUUAUAUUCAUUUUUAAUUUAUUACUUUUAUAAGUAAUAAUAAAUUUAUGUUUUAAAAUAAUAAUUAUAAAAAAAUUAAACAUUUAAAAUUCUAUAUUUUUAAUAGUAGAUAUAUAUAUAUAUAUAUAUAUAUUGUAUAAAAGUAGGAGCAGAGGGAUUUUUUUUUAUCGAAUCGAAACAUGAUAGAAUCAAAAUUAACGUAUAAAAUGCCCACCCUAGCUAGAUUAUUGUUUUAUACAUUCUUUUCAUGAUAACAGAGACAGUUGAUUUGAACAAAAAGAAACAGAGACAGUUGACAAAACAAAGAAUAAAAUGUACGAAUUUAAAGUUGAUGUUCAUUUGUUUUGGCUGAGGUUGAGCUGGCUCCUCGAAUGAGCUUAUUUUUCUAAUCCUAGGUUUGUCAUUGACUUGAUAAAUGUCGUUUUCAAUCUAUUAUUUCUUCAAAAAAUAUAUCCGUACAGUUUAUUAUGGUUUCAAAAUAGUGGAAGACUUUUUUUUCCUAUGUACUUUCUAUUGAAGGUGAUUUCUAAAGGUUGAAGGCCAAUGUAUCUUACUUACUGUACAUUGACAUGUUCUUAAAUUUACAGAUGAAUCACCUGUAAGUACCCAUUUGGGUGCUGUCCAACCCAACUGACGGGCCUACCUGUAACUAAUCUUUCUGGUUGUGCAUAUGCCAGUUCGUGUAGAAAAGGUCCACUUUUCGUUGUGAUUCUGCUGGUAAGCCUUAUUUCUGAAGUUACUCUGCUUAACAUGUGAAUAUUUUAAGCCACAACUUAGGAUGAGCACUAAACAUGUCUUCCAUAUUUUAAGCCACAACUUAGGAUGAGCACUAAACAUGUCUUCCAUAUUUUUAAAUGGUUCAUGUCAUUAUCAUAACAGAAUUUUCAAUUCAGAUUAGUUUUGUUUACUUUCAAGUCAACUAUUUAUGGAAAAUGAUUGGUUAUAACUUUGUUUUUUUUUUCCUGGCGAUAGUUGGGAUCAGUCGUUGACUUAAUUAUUAUGAAGUAUACAUAUCAACUGCACCAUUCUUGGUCUCUUGUGAUACUAAUACUAUCUGUUUCUUCUUACCUUCAAAAAUGUCCAUCUCAAUCCUCUGCGUCUGCUUUGUUUUGAUUCUCCCUUGUGUCUACUCACUUCAUUUUAAAAUAACUCGUUUCAACCAAGACAGUCCCGAAAUAGCAUACCAAGGAGACGCAAGAGCAAACGGAGCUGUUGAGCUUAGCAACAUCGACUACACUUGCCGUUCCGGCUGGGCUACUUACGGUAAGAGGAUUCCUCUGUGGGAUCCAGAGAUCGGCAAGCCUUCCGAUUUCACUACACGCUUCUCCUUCAGGGUUGACACUCGUGGUGUUAUGUACGGUAACUACGGCCAUGGCUUCGCUUUCUUUAUAGCUCCUGCAGGGAUCCAAAUGCCACCCAACUCAGCCGGUGGUUUCUUGGGUCUGUUUAAUGAAACCAACGUUAAGUCUUCUUUUUACCCGCUUGUUCAUGUCGAGUUCGACACGUAUAGCAAUCCAGAAUGGGAUCCUCUCGACAUGAAGUCUCAUGUGGGAAUCAACAACAACUCUCUUGUUUCUUCUAACGCAACUUCUUGGAAUGCGACCUCGCAUAGCCAAGAUAUUGGCCGUGUGACGAUCUUCUAUGAUUCAUCCAGAAGAAACUUGAGCGUCUCUUGGAGUUAUGACACAACAUCUGAUCCUAAUGAGAACUCGAGCUUAUCUUACAUCAUUGAUCUUUCGAAGGUGAUGCCAUCAGAAGUCACUAUUGGAUUCUCCGCGACAUCUGGAGGGGUCACUGAGGGGAAUAGACUUGUGUCGUGGGAGUAUAGUUCACCCCUGGAGCUGAGAGUUAUCAAGAAAGUUCAACAUGACAGGAAGGGGAUGAUCAUCGGUGUUUCAGUCUCUGUCUUUGUUUUGCUGACCUUCUUUGUUGUCUUCUUGAAACGAAAGCAGCAGCAGAAGAAGAAAGCUGAGGAGAAAGCGAACUUGACAUCGAUAAAUGAUGAUCUCGAAAGAGGAGCAGGACCAAGAAAGUUUUCAUACAAAGAUCUUGCAUCAGCUGCUAACAACUUCUCAGAUGAAAGGAAGCUUGGGGAAGGAGGGUUUGGAGCGGUGUAUAAAGGCUACUUAAGCGGGUUAGAUACGAUGGUUGCGAUAAAGAAGUUUGCGGGCGGGUCUAAGCAGCAGGGGAAGAGAGAGUUCAUAACGGAAGUAAAGAUAAUCAGCAGUUUGAGACAUCGAAACUUAGUGCAACUCAUUGGUUGGUGUCAUGAGAAAGAUGAGUUUCUAAUGGUAUACGAGUUCAUGCCAAACGGUAGCCUCGACGCCCAUCUCUUUGGUAAGAAGCCUCGUCUCGCUUGGGGCGUGAGGUGCAAGGUAACUUUAGGUAUAGCCUCUGCUCUGCUGUAUCUUCACGAAGAGUGGGAGCAGUGUGUUGUCCACAGAGACAUCAAGGCGAGUAAUGUGAUGCUCGAUUCCAAUUUCAAUGCCAAGCUCGGUGAUUUCGGGUUGGCUAGGUUGAUGGACCACGAGCUUGGUCCGCAGACUACAGGGUUAGCGGGAACGUUCGGUUACAUGGCUCCUGAGUACAUAAGCACAGGAAGGGCGAGCAAAGAGUCUGAUGUUUACAGCUUUGGAGUUGUUACGUUAGAGAUUGUUACAGGAAGAAAAUCAGUAGAUCCGAGACAAGGAAGAGUGGAGCCUGAGACAAGCCUUGUGGAGAGAGUGUGGGAGUUGUAUGGGAAAGGAGAAGUGAUCACAGUUGUGGAUGAGAAACUGAGGAUCAAUGAUGGUUUUGAUGAGAAGCAAGCAGAGUGUCUUGUGGUUGUAGGGUUAUGGUGUGCUCAUCCUGAUAGGAACUCGAGGCCUUCGAUUAAACAAGCCAUCCAAGUCUUGAAUCUUGAAGCACCGUUGCCUCGUCUUCCUGUUAAAAUGCCUGUUGCAACUUAUCGUGUCUCAUCUUCGAGUACUGGAACAUCGGUGGUGAGCUCUGGUGGUGCUGCUACUGCAACGUUUUCAAGUGCUCAGCUUGGUCGUUGAGCAGAUCUCUGUUGACUGUAAUAUGCUCUUGUUUCUAAUCUCCCUGUGUGUUGUGUUUUGGUCUUGUGCUUCUUCUGUUACUCUUUGCUUGUGAAAGAAGUUUCUUCAAUUGAAGCUGACUAUUUUGAUUUACAUUGACAAGCCUUGGUUGCCCCGAGAGGAAAAUUCACCAUUGUCAUUGAAGCUGCAGGAUACGUAUUGCUUUUGGAAGUAACAGAGAAUGUUUCACGGUAAAGGACCGAAUAAUAAGGAUUGAUGGUUUAUGUUUCUUGCAACAUGAAAGAGGUCUUGCAACUAGAAAAUAAACAUCUCAAGCAAAACAACACAAAAAGAACAAAACUUGGAAGGAAAUCAAGUCUCUAGAUUUUGUUGAAAGCGACGAUGUCAACACUCUGGAUGUACUCGUUGUUAGGUUCACAGGUGAGGUAGUCUUCAAUGAGAUUGUCCGGGGAGACGAGGUCAUCAACAAUUGUGAGCAUGAUCGUGAGCUUCUUGAUCCCGUAACCAACUGGAACCAGUUUUGCUGUAACAGUUUAAACAGAACAAAAUACUCAAUUAGAGGAACUGGCCAACACAAUCAUUGCAAGUAUAGACAAAUGGAGAUUGUGGACUUACAAGCUCCCCAUAGAAGACCAGGCAUCUCAACAGCACGAACACACUCCUCCAGUUUCUUCAUGUCAGUCUCGUCAUCCCAUGGCUUGACUUCCAUGAGCACAGAUGACUUUCCACCUAAACAAAAUUCAAAAAAGAGAAUAAGAUGCAGUUUCUCAGUAAUCACAUGUGUUCCAGAUCCAAAACCAAACAAAAGACAGUGCUUACUCUCUUUGGGCUUCUUGGUGUCUUUCUUAGAAGCCUCCCUCUCCUCUGCAGCUUUCUUUUCCUCCUCGGUCUCGUCACCAAACAGAUCCAUGUCAUCAUCAUCAUCAGCUGCAGGUGCCUGUUCACGAUUCACGAAAAUAGCUAAAUCACACAAAACGUUUCCUCUAGCAAACACAACUCAGUUGAUUCUCCCUAGUAUAAGACUAGAACUAUCACCAUAUCAAAACUAUAAUGAUCACCAUAUCAAAGCAUUCUUCAAAAAUAUAAUGAUCACGCAUUAGGAAUAGAACAAGACUCAAGCAUUCAAGGAAAGGGUACCUCAGCUUGAGCAGGAGCAGCAGAGCCACCGAUUGAAACUCCAACGGCUUUACCAGGGAAGCUGCAACAAUUAGAAACCUCCUAAGUUCUUGGAAGAUCAAUCAUAAACCAAAUCUUAUUUAGUUUGAUUCAAAAGUUACAAAAGGACGAACCUUUUAGCAAGGUGGGACGCGACGCAAUCGUACCACUUGCUAGCAUUGGGGAAGGCAUCGCUCGGUUUCUCCACGAUGGCAGCGUAUACCUUCACAUCAUCCACAGACAACUGAUCUCUGCGAAAAUCAAAAAGUUGUCUUUUAGACUUGAAACGGCGAUCGAAACGUAUUGCGAAAGAUGGGAAAGUGAGAAACUUACCCGGAGAUGUAGGUUUUUCCGGCGAGGUGCUCCUCCACGGAUUUAACACCCUGCUCUGUGUGUAGAUCUGAGAAGGUAACCGCCAUUGUAGCUGCUUGCCGAGGUUAGGGGAGGGAGCGAGAGAGAGAGUGAUAAGAGACGGAGGUUGAAAAAAGCAAGCUGGUUUAUAAACCUACAGAGUAUAGCCCUGAGUCACUGAGAAACCCUAACCCCGGUUCGGAAAUAAAAGUGGUGUGGGCUAAGCUCAAUUCUAUUAUAUGGGCUUUGUUAUGGGCCUUCAGAUUGCUCCAUAUCAGAAUUUAUUGCUUAAUUCUCAGUUAGAGGCUGAAGCUGCCGCCUGCACUUAUAAAAUGAUUCGAUAAAAUUAUCUCAAACGCCAUCAUAUAAUUUAGGUCAUUUUAUUUGUUGAUAAUCCGGAGUAUCCGGUGGGCUGAAGCCCAACAGACUAAUCCUAUGGAGGCCUGUUUAUUGGCACCAGACAGAUCUGGUUGCUUGCAAUGGAAAUUAGAUAUUCAUGUCGUCUGGCCAUAUAAACGUGUAAAUCUGAGUUUAAUAGGUUCUGAACCCGAGGUGCUUAGCACCUUUCCAAAUUCGCCUUACCAAUUGACCACGUUUGUGUGGUUCACUUUAACAAACUCUUUUAGAACAUGAUUAAUUGGGGUCUUUUAUGGUAAAGUUCUUAAAGUAAUAUAAGACAGUUUUUUAGUUUUUAACUAAGAAAAAAUACCGUUAAAGAGUAAUAAUUUAAUUUUUAUUUGAUCACUGUGAAAGUUAUUUGAAAAGUUUAAUACCCUGACGCACACGUUAAAGUCAUGUUAUCAAGAUAAACGAGGUAGGUUUAUAUUCAAAUAUAAAUGCUUACUUGGAUCUCUCAUGGGAAUACCAAUACGGUGUUCUCAAUGUAUCGCACAUGUGAAAAAUAAGGGUAUAAAACCAAGGACGCCAUAUAUAAAUUACAGGAGCAUCGUACAUUGAAAAUAUUCUUGCCGUCUCCCUUUUUGUAUGUUUCUUUUUAACUUCCAAGUGUUAUUAUUACUAUAUGAUUUUUGUUGCAGUUUAAGAUAUGAUAUUAUACGAAUGAAAGUAUGUGCUGUGAAUCCGUCCACAGUCAUUUAGUGACUGAUAACUGCGCUGGACAUAAGAUGAAGAUGUCAAUAAAGUUACAAUAAGACUACAUAAUCAACUAUUUUGCCGAGUAAUCAACUAUUUUGUCGAGUUAUCAACUUAGCAUUGGUAGCAUACACUUUUAUUGGAAUCGCCUAAGAAAACCCACGUGAUUCCCUUUAUUUAAUUGCUGCCGUUUUGUUUUACUAGUUUCUACAAUGCACUUAAAUUGGAGUUCGUACUUUGCAAAACAGAGAAUUACAGUUUCAAGAUCACUCCUUGCUUCGGCUCUCUGUAUUAUUGUACGAUCUUCUCCCUUUUGAGUUUACUUUUUUUUUUUGUUUCUUUUGUCCACAAAAGGAUAUACAGAGUUCGUUACCUGCUCUGUUUUGUCAAUGUAGUUUCUGAUUUCUAGGCAUUUUUAUAGCUUUAACUGUUCUUGUUUGUUUUCUGGUGGUCAUGGUUUAAAAUCUAUUGCAACAUCUUUUGUUCUACUGACUCAAGAGCUGGGUUGGUACCAGAUGUUCUUGUGUAUUUGUUUUGAAUAGUUAAAUACUCAUUUACUUGGAACAAAUGCUCUUUCUUACAAAUCUCUGUUACAACCUUGUAUGGUUUGAUUUAGUCGUUAUUAAGUUAGGACAUUUCAAAUGUGAAAACUUUGUCCAAAGUCGGUGUCAUUCUAUAUAAUGUUGUAGGAGUUUUCUAAACAUUGCUACAUUUCUACUUUUGUAUUCUUAGGAUUUGGUCGAGCUCUAGGGCUCUUCUAUAUAGCCAUUCAUGUCAAAUCGCAUUGCACAUGUAUCACUUGAAGGUGACUUAGAGAUGGCAGAGAGGAGAACUAACAACGAAGCUGGAGAAGUUGUUAUUAAUGUUUCACAAGCGUCGAAAGACCCAACAUCAUCUCAUUCUUCUAAGGUACGAGCAUUACCGGAGUCAGAUACAGGGGCUACAAAACCAGAUCCAUUAAGCAUUCCCCCUCCUGAAAUCUACAAGUUGUCUGGUAACGUUCAUAAGCCGCCCGAAGUUCCAAGUCCUAGCACUGAAGGUCUAGUUCGAAGGAGAUCUCUUUCCAGGUCGGUUUACUCCAAGUCCAACUCAAGGUUUGGGCAGCAACAGUCUUAUCGGUUCGAUAAGACUAUUGCUGAGGAAAACGGUGGAACUCUUAGGGAACAUUUUUGUAAUGACCCACUACUCCCACCACCUCCACUAUACCCACUAUCUCCACCAUCUCCACCAUCCCCACCACUCCCACCAUCUCCACCAUCUCCACCAUCUCCACCAUCCCCAACUUCUUUAAAGAGAAAGAGAGAGAGAGAGAGAAAGAGAGAGAGAAAGAGAGAGAAAGCUCACAUGAGCUCGUCGCCGGAGCAACCGUGUGCCGUGAUCACGUUGAGCUCGUCACCACCGUUCGCUGCAGCUUAGAAUCGCCGGAAACCGCCAUACAGUUAAGCUUAGUUUCGUCCGUUUAGUAAUUCGCCGAUAACUCUCUAACCGUAGAGAAUGUCGUGCAUCCAAGACCAUCAUCGUGUUCCUCUCGUCGAGACGAAGCCGUAGACACCAACCACGCCUCGAACGGAGCCCGGACGAAGCCGCACGCGCCUCCCGAAGAUUCGCCUGCGCGAGCGCGUGAAACACACGCGCCGCCGCCGGAACACCGUUCUCCGCCGCAGCGCCGCCGCCGGACCAUCGUUCUCCGCCGCCGCUCCGCCGCGGCCGCCGCCGUAGCUCCGCCGUCGCCGCCGGUGACCGACACCGGUGAAUCGCCGGCGACUCGCCAACUCGGCCGAGUUGACCCGGUGAGUCAACUCGGUUGACUCGGUCAACCGGUGGUUUGACCGGUUUGAAUUGAUUUCAAUUCGGUUAGGCUAAACCGGUCGGUUUAAAUCAAUUGGAAAUCGGUUAGGAUAAACCGGAUUAAUUAAUUAAAUAAUUAAUUAAUUAAUUAAUUAAAUAAUUAAUCUUUGACCAGCGGGUUGACUUUUCCGUAAAUACCCGUUUUAAACCGUUCGAAAGGCNNNNNNNNNNNNNNNNNNNNNNNNNNNNNNNNNNNNNNNNNNNNNNNNNNNNNNNNNNNNNNNNNNNNNNNNNNNNNNNNNNNNNNNNNNNNNNNNNNNNNNNNNNNNNNNNNNNNNNNNNNNNNNNNNNNNNNNNNNNNNNNNNNNNNNNNNNNNNNNNNNNNNNNNNNNNNNNNNNNNNNNNNNNNNNNNNNNNNNNNNNNNNNNNNNNNNNNNNNNNNNNNNNNNNNNNNNNNNNNNNNNNNNNNNNNNNNNNNNNNNNNNNNNNNNNNNNNNNNNNNNNNNNNNNNNNNNNNNNNNNNNNNNNNNNNNNNNNNNNNNNNNNNNNNNNNNNNNNNNNNNNNNNNNNNNNNNNNNNNNNNNNNNNNNNNNNNNNNNNNNNNNNNNNNNNNNNNNNNNNNNNNNNNNNNNNNNNNNNNNNNNNNNNNNNNNNNNNNNNNNNNNNNNNNNNNNNNNNNNNNNNNNNNNNNNNNNNNNNNNNNNNNNNNNNNNNNNNNNNNNNNNNNNNNNNNNNNNNNNNNNNNNNNNNNNNNNNNNNNNNNNNNNNNNNNNNNNNNNNNNNNNNNNNNNNNNNNNNNNNNNNNNNNNNNNNNNNNNNNNNNNNNNNNNNNNNNNNNNNNNNNNNNNNNNNNNNNNNNNNNNNNNNNNNNNNNNNNNNNNNNNNNNNNNNNNNNNNNNNNNNNNNNNNNNNNNNNNNNNNNNNNNNNNNNNNNNNNNNNNNNNNNNNNNNNNNNNNNNNNNNNNNNNNNNNNNNNNNNNNNNNNNNNNNNNNNNNNNNNNNNNNNNNNNNNNNNNNNNNNNNNNNNNNNNNNNNNNNNNNNNNNNNNNNNNNNNNNNNNNNNNNNNNNNNNNNNNNNNNNNNNNNNNNNNNNNNNNNNNNNNNNNNNNNNNNNNNNNNNNNNNNNNNNNNNNNNNNNNNNNNNNNNNNNNNNNNNNNNNNNNNNNNNNNNNNNNNNNNNNNNNNNNNNNNNNNNNNNNNNNNNNNNNNNNNNNNNNNNNNNNNNNNNNNNNNNNNNNNNNNNNNNNNNNNNNNNNNNNNNNNNNNNNNNNNNNNNNNNNNNNNNNNNNNNNNNNNNNNNNNNNNNNNNNNNNNNNNNNNNNNNNNNNNNNNNNNNNNNNNNNNNNNNNNNNNNNNNNNNNNNNNNNNNNNNNNNNNNNNNNNNNNNNNNNNNNNNNNNNNNNNNNNNNNNNNNNNNNNNNNNNNNNNNNNNNNNNNNNNNNNNNNNNNNNNNNNNNNNNNNNNNNNNNNNNNNNNNNNNNNNNNNNNNNNNNNNNNNNNNNNNNNNNNNNNNNNNNNNNNNNNNNNNNNNNNNNNNNNNNNNNNNNNNNNNNNNNNNNNNNNNNNNNNNNNNNNNNNNNNNNNNNNNNNNNNNNNNNNNNNNNNNNNNNNNNNNNNNNNNNNNNNNNNNNNNNNNNNNNNNNNNNNNNNNNNNNNNNNNNNNNNNNNNNNNNNNNNNNNNNNNNNNNNNNNNNNNNNNNNNNNNNNNNNNNNNNNNNNNNNNNNNNNNNNNNNNNNNNNNNNNNNNNNNNNNNNNNNNNNNNNNNNNNNNNNNNNNNNNNNNNNNNNNNNNNNNNNNNNNNNNNNNNNNNNNNNNNNNNNNNNNNNNNNNNNNNNNNNNNNNNNNNNNNNNNNNNNNNNNNNNNNNNNNNNNNNNNNNNNNNNNNNNNNNNNNNNNNNNNNNNNNNNNNNNNNNNNNNNNNNNNNNNNNNNNNNNNNNNNNNNNNNNNNNNNNNNNNNNNNNNNNNNNNNNNNNNNNNNNNNNNNNNNNNNNNNNNNNNNNNNNNNNNNNNNNNNNNNNNNNNNNNNNNNNNNNNNNNNNNNNNNNNNNNNNNNNNNNNAGAGUAGCUAUGUAUUAUAAGCGCAUGAGUUGUAACGGCUAGUCCUCUAGCCGAAUAUUGAUUGUUAUGUGUGGUGUAAUAGGCACCGUGUUUGUUUCAUGCUAGAGCUAGGCCUACAUUUUAGUAGUGCUAUGAACUCAGUCUGUGGUUUGCGGUUUAGCAUCCCAUACCUCGCUGGGCAACUCCCCUGUUGCUCACCCCUCCUUCUUUCCCCCUUUCAGGUGAGACCGACGAGCAGGAGUGAUUAUCGGACCGGUGCUAUUGGGCUUUUGGGCUUCUAUCGCUUUUACCGCUUUUAUCUUUAUCGGGUCUUUAGGCCUUUGGACUUUUAUCGUUUAUGUUAUUCCUAUUUCAGACUUUCGGUUUAUGUCGUAUUUUAUAUUUCGGAUGUUAUCGUUAUCGGGCCUUUUGGCGUUAUGCUAUCGUAUUGACUUUUAUAUUAUGGUGGAAAUUAUUAUUAUUAUUUGAGUUGUAUUAUUAUUUUAUUUCCGCUUUAAUCUAUUUAUUAUAUUUCGAAAGUGACGGGUGUCACAUUUUGGUAUCAGAGCUAUUUAUUUAUCGUAACAUUUUAUUAUGUAAAUCUGGGUGUCACAAUUUUGCGGCUUCUUCCUUUUCAAGAAAUUCUUUUGGCAGGGCUUCGCCUAAUAACAAGUCAAAUAGAAGCGUUUGCUCAACGGCCCUGAGCAAAGUUGCUGAAGAAGAAACAGAUGAAAACGAGGAAAUAUAUGAAAAGGUUAAGCUACACCGAGUAAAGCGUAGUGGAAUGAAACCUCUGGCUCUACUUGAGUUGUUCUUGUUUUUGGCCAUUUUGUGCACUUUGGUUGUGAGUUUAACCAAUGAUACAGUGAAGGAACACUGUAUUUGGGGAUUGGAAGUGUGGAAAUGGUGCGUUCUUGUGAUGGCAACGCUUAGCGGCAUGUUCGUGACGAACUGGUUCAUGCAUUUAGCGGUGUUCAUCAUAGAAAGGAACUAUCUCCUACGUAAAAAAGUGUUGUAUUUUGUGCAUGGUUUGAAGAAGAAUGUUCAAGUCUUUAUUUGGUUCAGCCUUAUUCUGGUUGCUUGGGUGUUUCUCUUCGAAGAUGACGAUAAACACUCUCGUAAGACCAAGAAGUUUCUAGACUUUAUAACUUGGACUAUUGUCACCCUCCUCGUUGGGUCAAUCCUUUUCUUGGUGAAGACAUUUGCCUUGAAAGUCCUUGCUUCGAAGUUCAACGUAAGAAACUUUUUUGAGAGAAUUCAAGAGUCUGUCUUUCACCAGUACGUUCUCCAAACUCUCUCGGGACCUCCGCUUAUAGAAGAGGCAGAGAAGGUUGGGCGUGAGCCAAGCACAGGCCAUCUUAGUUUUACGAGCACCAAGAAUGGAACGGUGAAAGAGAAGAAGGUGCUUGAUAUGGGAAAGGUUCACAAGAUGAAGCAAGAGAAGGUCUCGGCUUGGACAAUGCGAGUUUUGAUUGAAGCUGUGGGAGCGUCAGGUCUCUCAACUAUAUCUAACACUUUAGAUGAGAGUAUCAAUGGGAAAAAUAAAACUGAUAAGGAGAUAACUAAUGAGAUGGAGGCUGUCGCUGCUGCUUAUGAUAUUUUCAACAAUGUUGCUCAACCCAACCACAAGUGAGUUUCAUCACACUAACCAUUGUGAUUUAGUCUAGUUUUCAUCCUAAUUAUAAUAACUUGAUAUUGCUUCGUUUCAGUUACAUAGAGGAAGAUAACUUGCUGAGGUUUAUGAUCAAAGAAGAGGUAGACCUUGUACUUCCAUUAAUAGAAGGUGGUGAGACUGGGAAAAUCACACGCAAUGCUUUCACAGAAUGGGUGGUAAUGUUCUUUAAACACCUUUCCAAAAUAUAUGGCUUUAUCCCUUGUUGGUCACUGUAGACUAGUGCAGUCUUAAAUUAUUUUCAGGCCUUAUUAAAAAAAAAAAUAUUAACGGUAUAUUUAACAAUGUAAUGAAAUAGAUUUAAAAGUUAAUAGGUAAACCUUGUAUAUAUUUUUGAUGUCUCUUUUGAAAGAACGAAACUUAGGUUCACCCCUUCACCUUUAAAUUCACCCCACCCUUUAGGACCAAUCAAAAUGACACAUAGAUUAUUAAUUAAAAAAUAUUAAAUUAAAUAAAAAAUUGAUACAAAAAAUAAAAACGCUAAUUUUAACGACGUUAACGCUUCCAAAAAAACUCUAAAUCCUAAAUCUUAAAUUCUAAAUCCUAUACCCUAAAUUCUAAACUCAAAUUCAAACUCCUAAACCCAAACCCUAUAUCUUAAACCCUAAUCCUAGACCCUAAACCCAAAUUAUAUACCUUAAACCCAAAAAUAGACUAUAAACCUAAAUCCUAUACCCUAAACCCAAAUCUUAGACCCUAAACCCAAACCGUAAACCUUAACCCAAACCCUAUAGUAUCUAAGUUUGGGGUUUGGGUUUAGGGUUUACCGUUUGGGUUUUAAGUCUAGGAUUUGGGUUUAGGGUAUAGGUUUUGGGUUUAGGAUUUACGGUUUGGGUUUAGGAUUUACCGUUUGGACUUAUGGUUAAAGUUUUGGGUUUAGGGGUAUAUAAUUUGGGUUUAAGAUUUACGGUUUGGGUUUAGGGUCUACGACUUGGGUUUAAGGUAUAAAGUUUAGGUUUAUAGUCUAGUUUUUGGGUUUAGGGUAUAUAAUUUGGGUUUAGGAUCUAGGAUUAGGGU